rnacentral:lncRNA from 1 species
GAAAAUCUAAAUAAGUAGAGAAAGGAAAAAUGAAGAUAAAAUAAAAAUGGCAACACCUUGAGGAAUUUAUCUAGUUUAAUUAAUUAAAGUGUUCAGGCAAAUACAAAUAAAUAAAUAAAUUAAAAAUAAAAAUUACACAAAUACACAACAUGUUUCCAAUAUUACAAAAAAUCUCAACUCCCUAAAUAUAUUACAAAAUCCCAACAUAUACACAAAAUGUUAUGUAUAUGUCGUCUAUGUUAUGUAUAUUAAUAGGGAGAGAAAAUAAAGUAAUUAAAAAAGUGGAAGAGAACGUAAUUACUUUUUUUAUAUUAUUUAUACAAAUUAAAAUGGGUAAUUAAAGAGAGAAGAGUGAACAUUGGCCCCUUUUGGCCUAUUAAAAAUCUGUCCAAUUUUCGAUCAAUUCCAUGGAUUUUAGCCUAUUUCUUUCCCCUAUAUAUCUGUUGUAUAUCAGCACCUUAUUUCCUGUGUUUUGGAGUAUACUGUUGCGUAUACGAUGUAUAUCAGUGCGGUAAGCUGCAAAUUUUGACUCCAUUUUUCAUCAUAAACCAUGCUAUAACGUGCAGCUGUUGCAUCCUAAUGUAUAUCAGUUGUAUACAAUUGUACACCAGUGUCGUUUCGACUCGAUGGACGUUGAGUUUACCCCAACCGAAUUCGGGAAAUGAGAGUCCAAUGGACUCGAUGGGGGAUUUCAUGCAUAGAAAUUAAGGGGAGGAAGAUUAGCAACUAAGAAAAAGAUUAAACCAAACUUGAAAUUUAAACACAUAUUUUCCAAGAUCAAGAUGUCAAUACUCGAGCGGAGAUAAGUUGAUCAUUUAAUGAGCCGAGUCAACUUUCAAACUCAACAAUUAAUGACUAAUAUAGCAUACGUUCAUCAAGCCAAAAUAUGAAUGGAAAAUGAACCAAGUAAACAGAGGAGUGGAACUUUAAAACGUUUUAAUAUAUUUACACUUGAACUCAGGCCAACAUAAGCAGGAAUUCUGGAAAUUCAAUAAGCUAACACAUAAUAUGCAAAGCAACCACUGUAGAUAUGUAAAGCAACCACUGUAGUCCAUGAGAAAGCAUGGAGGCACUCUUUACAUUGAUUAUAACAACAGAAACAAAAUGAAUAUGCCUAUAUGUUGGGCUAUUAGCAGACUUUAAGAAAAGAAAAGAAACAAAAAGGUAUUCUUCUUACUAAAGGCCGGUUACACAAACAAAAUGGUAAAAGAGCAAAAAAAAUGAACUGUUAUAGUAUGAAAAAUAUUAAUUUUAGACGAUACUAGGAGUAUAUUUUCCAGAUUACAAGUUUAUAGGCCCAACUAAGUAGACUUACUAUCAUAUCUUCAUGCUUUGGAAUAAAAACAAAAUCCCAAUAAAGGCUCAUUUUCACACAUUCUGAAUCACGAGAAGAUCAACCAACAAAAAGUAUACGACAAUCAAGCUUCAAAACUCAUAACCACUCUUGCAAGAAUAUACAAACUUCAUUGCCGAAAACACAUGUAAACGGUUUGCGGUUUUUUUUUUUAAGGAGAAACAUGACAAAAGAGAAAUAGACAAUUCGAAAGAGGCAACAUACUUGAAAGCUUGAAACCAAUUGGAUUUAAACCAAACCAUAGAUAUCCUAUUUUAGGAAGCAACCACGAAUAUUGAUAACACAAGAGGAAGAAACAGCUUGGACUAAAAAAAAUUGAUUCGUACAUCUAUAAAAACAAGACCUCUAGAACUUGAAAUAAUCAGUCAAGAACUUCUCAAAUAGUAGGCUCAUCAUCAUGGUUUAAGAACCUUGUCAAGAGAACAACGAACGGCUUAGGCUCAUGAACCAACCAAUUUACUAUGCUUGCCGAAAUAUUAAGAUAUUUUAGUAUUGAAUUGAGGCUGUCCUCGAUCUCGUCUAAACUCGAACUAGGAUUUAAGUGCUCCUGAUCUUUUAGCACUCAACACAUAUAUCGAAAAAAAUAGCGAGGACGCCCACUAGUACAUGAAACAAAGCCAAUUGACGAAAAAAAAAACUCAAAAGUUCGCACGACAUUACAUGAGCACUGUAUUGCUCUCUAAUUCAUCAUCAAGAGUAUUCAAUAUUAUGAAGCAAAUGACUCAAUAAUCUACAAGAGAAUGAUCAGUUACAUAAUGAAAGUAAAAGACACCAUGUAACCGAAUGACCCAUCUUAACAGUCAUGAGACUCUUUACACGUCACAUUUUAUUCAAAUAGUUAAUCAAGUAAGCUAACCCCAAAACAACAUAGAAUGAACUUGAACCAAACUAAAAGCAGAUAAAAUGGAUAGGGAAAGGGAAUUACACUAACAUCGACUCUAAGUUCGACCGGUGCAAGGAAACAGUGAGAGCGGUGAGAGUGAAUCGGAACAAGAAAAUUGAUCAAAGAAAAUAGACAUAGCAGUGGGUAAAAGAGUAUCUGAAAAUUCCAAAAAAAAAACCCCCUCAAAUGCAUCCGCUCCUAUUUAUAUCGGAAAAAUCUCAAUUAAAAUUCAAAGUAGAGUCUGUUUUACUGACAGAGAGUGGAUGGGGAUUUGACCAAAAAUUGAAAAAAAGGAGUGAAAACAUAUCCGACAAAUUCGGAUUGAUUGUGAUGCUUCUGAUUUGGUUUGGAUUUUGGAAUUGAAGACACACAAUCUUGAGCCAAAAGUUAACAAAGAUGGCUCUAGGUCUGCAAAAUUGCAGAGAUAACAUUGAGAGAGAGGUUUUCCAUGAUUUAAGGGUCAUUGUCGUUGGAUUGAAUGAAAUUAUUCGCGGGUCGGGUCGGGUUGGAAAUUUGGUCACUGCUGCUAUUGAUAUUGCGGCGGUUAUUGUUGCUUCGUUUAUGCCGGUUCACCGGCGCCGGAUUUGGGAUCGCCUGUGUCGAGUUGUUUGUCGUCGGGUGUGUUGGUGGUUUGCUGAAGUCGGUGUUUUGGGAGCGAAAGAAGUCUAGGAGAGAGAAUAGAGGUGAGGUGCGUGUGUGCGUGUGGUAUAUGUACGUACAGGUGUGUAUUGAGGCUGGUUUAGGAAAUUUAAGGGAUUUGGGACGGAUCGGUUUUUGGGAUUCUGGUAGAUAGUUUGAUGUGGGCUAGGUAUUUAGGAUAUUUUUGGGCCGCUGAUUUUUUUUUUUUGGGGGGAGGGAGAAGGGGGGCAAAAAUGGCCCAAAAAAUGUAAAGGAGCUUGAUUAAUUAGGAUUUAAGAAUAAUUUAUUUAAUAAAUAAUCUAAAAUUAUAAUUUCAGUCAAUUUUAUUUAAAUUUAAAUUAUAUUGAAAUUAAUUGGUCAAUUAUAUUGCAAUUGUGAUCAAAUUGAUUUCAAUUAUGAUAAAAUUCAAUAAAUUGUCUAAAAUUAAAACAAAACUCGAUACGAAUUAUCAACUGACUUAAUUCGGAGCUUCUUGGUUUAACAAGAUCAUACAAAUAUUUUAUUCGAAUAAAUUAUUCUCAAGAAACUAUUAUAUUUAAAUAAAACCUUUAACCAUUUGAAUUUAUUUUCAAGAUAAUCCUUGAUUAAAAUUCGAUAUGUCAUAAAAUGAAUAUUUAAGUAACAAAAUUAUAUAAUUUCGUAUAAUUGAAUAUGAGAAUAUAAAAUAGCUACUUAAAAUAGUAGAAUUACCAAGAUAAAUACUUUGAAAAUUUUUAUUCGGAUGAAAUAAAUGUUGUAAUUUCAUUUGAUAAUCGAAGAAACUCGAAAUUAAACUUAGUUAUGAAGGGCAAAAAUUAGGUGUCAACAAUGAUAACUGGCGAGCUUAAAAAAGUAAUAGAUUAGUAUAACAAACUCGCUCAAGCGAAGAUCAAUUUAACGAAAACUCGAAGAAGAACAAAGAAGUUAUCAAAUAGAAAUCAAAGAAUGUCAAAUCAAAAUUGACUUACUUCAUGAAAAACUUGAUGAAGUAAAGAUAAAACUAAAUGAUAUUAACAGAUCACCUAGUCACAAUUUCAUGAGAUCAAACUCUUUUAAAUAUAAUUCAAGUUCCUCAUCAGAAUCGUUAAAUCAACCAAGACCUCUUUCGCCUCUUGAGGACUGGUCUGUUUUAUAUUUGGACGUAGAGGGAACAAAUCGUACAUUUGUAGGCCCAAUCCUAAAAGUGUAUGAGUUUGGAAGCCUAAAGAUAGCGCAUUUAUCCCACAAGGACCCAAGACUACUUGGGUACCUAAACAGAAUUAAUUUUCUUAAUUUGCAAGAAUAGGUCCGCAAGAGCUAUAAGAAGAAAAUGUGGGUUAUUGAUAGCGGAUGUUACAGACACAAGACUAGAAAGAAAGAAAAAUUUUCAAAUCUAAAGAAAAUAGAUGGGAGAUUAGCCAGAUUCGACGAUAAUGCUAGAGGCAACGUCAUCGGUGUCAGCUCAGUAAAACUUAGAUUAUCAUAUAAAUUAACUAAAGUAUAUCUAGUGGACAGCCUUAAACAUAAUCUGCUUAGCAUCAAUCAACUGUGUGAUGCUGGUUUUGGAGUCCUCUUCAAAGAUAAAAAUUGCUCAAUAAAACACGACAAAAGAGACAUCUCUCUCAUCGAUGAAUGCAUUGAUAAUAUUUAUGUCUUAAAUAGUCCUGAUUUAGCUACUUUAACUUGAUUUAGUAUGCAAACCAAUGAUGUUUGGUUGUGGCACAGAAAGCUUAGGCAUGCUAUCAUUCAUAUCAUUGAGAAAUUGUCUAGACUGGAAUUAGUAAAGGGUUUGUCCAAACUCAAGUUUGAAAAGGAUCACAUUUGUGAUGCCUGCCAAUUGGGUAAAUAGACCCGAAUAUCAUUCAAAGUCAAAGACAAUGUCUCCACUACCAAACCUCUUCAAACAAUCCAUAUGGAUUUGUUUAGCCCCUCCAAGACCGCAAGCAUUAGUGGAAAGAGAUAUAUUUUUGUUAUAGUUGAUAAUUACUCACAUAUUACUUGGGUGAUGUUUAUUGCUCAUAAAUACGAGACUUUCACAAACUUUGGGAUUUUUUAUAGAAAAGUACAAAGAGAAGCUGGACACUUUAUCACCUACAUUCAUAGUUAUCAUGGAGGAGAAUUUAAAAAUAAGGCAUUUGAGGAAUACUAUGCUCAGAAUGAAUACUCUCAGAACUUCUCAUCACCUCGAUCUCCUCAGCAAAAUGGUGUGGUGGAGUAAAAAAAUCAGUCUCCCAAGAAAUUGCCAGGACCAUAUUGUCAGAAAAUAGAUGCCUGAUUAGACCUAUUCUACAGAAAAUGCCUUAGAACUGUGGAUAGGAAAGGAGCCUAACAUUAGCUACUUUUAUCCUUUUAGAUGCAAAUAUUUUAUCCAUAACCAUGGUAAUAAUAAGUUGGGAAAAUUUGAUCCUCGAAGUGACGAAGGUAUUUUUCUUGGGUAUACUCCUACAAGGCUUAUAAUAAAAGAACCGUAUGUGUUGAAGAAUCUAUGCAUAUUGUAUUUGAUGAAUCUAAUCACCCUCUUAUGAGUUUGAAUAUUGAUGACGAAUAGGUGAGUGAUCUACAAUCUGGAGCUAAUGCUAGCACAACCUCCGAGCCAUCACAAGAUGAGUCGACUAUACCCCCUCAGAAGUUGACUCACAUAGUAGAAAUAGUCAAACUGACUGUUCUAAGAGAAUGGAAAGAUGAUGCUAGCUAUCUAAAUAAAUUUAUCAUUAGAAAUUCAGAUGAUAGGAUGCAAACAAGAGCAUCAUUGAGAAAGCAAGCGUCUGUUUCCCUUGCAUCUCAAACUGAACUAAAGAAGACCGGGGAGCCCCUCAAAUAUAAAUCAUGAGUCGAAGCAAUGAAGGAAGAAUUGGACUAGUUUGAACAAAAUCAAGUUUGGACUCUGGUUGAAAGACCCAAGAACUGCUUAGUAAUUAGAACUAGUUGGGUUUAUAGAAACAAAUUGAAUGAAGGUAAGGUUAUUAAAAACAAAGCCAAACUUGUAGCUCAAGGCUACUCCUAACAAGAAGGUAUUGAUUAUGAUGAAACCUUUGCUCCUGUGGCAAGGUUAUAAUCAAUUCAAUUUUUAUUAACUUUUGCUGCUUUCAAAUAUUUUAAGUUAUAUCAAAUGGACAUAAAAAUGCCUUCUUAAAUGGUUCAUUCAUAUGGAAGUUUUUGUAAAACAACCCUCAGAUUUGAAAAUUCAUUUUAUCCAAAUCAUGUUUUCAAAUUAUCAAAAUCACUCUACAGUAUCAAACAAGCUCCAAAGGCUUGGUAUGAGAGAUUGAGUACUUUCCUACUAAAUAAAUAUUUUUAAAGAGGUAAAAUUGAUACAACCCUAUUCAUACUGAAACUUGAUUCAAAUCUUCUUACUCUGUAAAUUUACAUUGAUGAUAUUAUUUUUGGUAGUCCUAAUAUCUCUCUAUGGGAGAAUUUUCCUAAUUUGAUGAAAGGAGAAUUUAAAAUGUCUUAUAGGAGAGCUCACAUUCUUCUUGGGAUUACAAAUUAAACAAACUCCCAAAGGUACCUUCAUCAGUCAAGCUAAGUACACAAAGGAACUCAUAACAAAUUUUGAUAUGGAAAAAAGAAAGGCCUAUGGAACUCUGAUGAGUCCAUCUAUAAGUCUUGAUUUAGACAUGUCUGGAAAGGAUAUUGAUGAAAGGAUGUUCAGGGAAUGAUUGGAUCAUUACUCUAUUUUACUAUCAGUUGACCAGACAUCAUGUUCGGUGUAUGUAAGUAUGCCAGGUUCUAGUCGAUUCCCAAAGUGUCUCGUCUAACUUCCUUUAAAAGGAUUAUUCUAUACCUCAUAGGAACUCAAGACAUUAGUCUAUGGCACCCUUUUUCUUCCCAUUUCAAUUUAAUUGGAUAUUCAGACGCUAACUUUGUAGGUGACCAAAAAGAUAGAAAAAUCACUAGUGAAACGUGUCAAAUUCUUAAUGAUGCCCUAAUCUAAUGGCACAAAAAGAAGCAAACUUUAGUUGCUCUUUCAACAACUAAAUCCGAAUACAUAGCUAUUGGAAGUUGUGAUACUCAAAUUUUAUAGAUUAUCCAUCAACUACUUGAUUUUGAUUUGUCCUUUGAAUUUAUUACCAUAUUGUGUGAUAACACCAUCACUAUAAGUUUAUCUAAAUAUAUUGUGCAUCAUCUAGGGCCAAACACAUUGAUAUUAAGGAUCAUUUUAUUCAGGAUUAUGUCGAAAAUGGUGAUUUCUCGUUAAUAUUUGUUCACUCUUAAAAUUAACUAGCAGAUAUUUUUACAAAACCCCUGUAAGAAGAAAGAUUUUGUUACCUUAGAAAAAGACUUGGUAUUCUCACUUUAAUAAAUUAAGAGUCUUAUUUUUGGACAAUAAUUUCAUUUACUUGUUUCGAUUUUCUCAUCAAUUUUUAACCAAAAAAUUGGAUUUAAAAAAAGGGUUUUGUCCCUUGUUUUUUGCUGAGGUGUAAAAUGAUUUUUAAUACACUGUCUGCCACACUAUUUAUUUUGCCUAGUACUUGUUAGUUAAUAGAUAAAAUAGCUAUUAUCUGUUUAUUGCUAUUUUUGGUACUAUGUGGUUUUUAAUUAUUAUGCAAAAAGGAUGAAAAAGACAGGAACAUCAGAAGUGCCUAUAAGUCAGUGGGAGCAAGUUGACUACAGUGACAGAUAGGGAAGUCAACUGAUGUUUAUGCUUGUUUGUAAUUAUAAAAAAGGGGAGAUUUUUAGCCUACUAUAUUUAUGCUUUAUGUUUUAAUAAUGACAAAUUAAUAAGUUAACUUUAUAGUAUAUUAAAGAUCCCUAAUGAUGGAAGGAUAUCUCACAGAAAGGACAUUGAAGAUCUCAAAUCAUGGGAGGAUAUCUCACACGAGGUAAGAAAUAUUCUCUCAAAGAAUCUCGUGCUAAAUAAGGAGCCAUAUCAAAGAUAUUGAAAAUCCCUAAUAAUGGAAGGAGAUCUCACACAAAGGACAUUAAAGAUCUUAAAUCAUGGGAGGAUAUCUCGCACACAACAUGGAAUAUUCUCUUAAAGAAUAACGUGCUAAAUAUAGAGCCACUUAAAAAGUAGGAUAUCGCUUGACAAGGCAUCAAAAAUUAUAUCAAUUAAAGAUCCCAAUAGACAAAACCAUUGGACGCACCUCACGACAAGAUCAAAGGAGAAGGAAGAUCUCAUUACUUACAUAGACAUAUUUGAUAUGGACAUGUAUUGAUGUGAGAAAUAAAAAUCACACCAAGCAUGAGACUUUUCAUAAAGUUCAAACACCGUCAAUUAAGGAAUCAACUCAUAUCCUUGAUUGAGAAGAAAUCUCUUGGGUUAUCUUAUGAAGAUAAGAAGCAUAUACAACAAAAGAUUAUAAAGGCCAAAACAGAAGAAAAAAGACACUACGCAACUUUAAGGAGAAAAUUCAAAGUGUCUCAAUCUUAGUCUCACAAGGCUUUGUAACUUGUAGUUUACAAUUGCAAUAUAAAGAGUAGGAUCGAUUAAACUUUGUAACAUCAACUAAAGCCGUGUCACAAGAUUUGGAGAGCAAAAUAAGUCUUCAUAACUUGUUUUCUAUUAUUGUACUCUAGCCCGACAUUGAACGAUCUAAAGAAACUUUGAAACCCUAGGGGACUUGAAGUAGGCACCACAUUGGUGUUUCGAACCACGAUAAAUCUAUUUGCCUUUACUUUGUGUUUAACUAUUUAUUUGAUUAAUUGUGUUAAAUCUAAUUUAUUUUGUGAAGAACACUGAUCUGCAGAAAAUUCGACUGUGAGGAGUCUGUAGUCAACUCACAGAAAAAUUUUAAUUCAACCCCUCUUGAAUUUUAUUUGUAUGGUAGGAGGUGUAGGUCACCUAUUGGAUAGUUUGAGGUUUGUGAGGCGGAGUUGUUUGGGUUGGAUUUUGUUCACCAAGCCAUAAAGAAGUUGAGGGUAAUUCGGGAUAGUUUUAUGGCCGCCCAAAGAUGCCAAAAUACUUAUGUAGAUGUGAGGCAUAGGAAAUUAGAGUUUGAGGUUGGGGAUAGAGUGUUCUUAAAGGUAUCUCCCAUAAAGAGAGUGCUGCGGUUUAGGAAGAAGAGGAAGCUUAGGCCCUGGUAUAUUGGUCUGUACUUAGUUUUGAUAAGGGUUAGCAAUAUUGCAUAUAAGUUGGAGUUGCCUUCUAGUCUAAGCUCAAUUCAUCUGGUGUUCCACGUAUCUAUGAUAAGGAAGUUUGUGGGUGAUCCUUCAUAAAUUGUACCUAUUAAGGCUAUUGGUAUUUCAAAUUCUCUAUCCUAUGAGGAGGUUACCGAUUGAAAUCUUGGAGAAAAAGGUUCAUCUUUUAUGGACCAAGGACGUAGCUUCGGUGAAGUUUUAUGAAGGAACCACAAGGAUGAAGAGGCUACCUGGAAAUAAGAACAGGACAAGAAGUUGAAGUAUCCAUCCCUAUUUCAUGUUCUGGAAAAUCGAGCUUAAGGUAUGUGUUGAUCUCACCAUCUUUGUUUUCUGACUUUGUUAAAGAAAAGAUUGAUUUCCUUCGUAUCUUUGUUUCCUAACCUAGUUAAAGGUCAGAUUAGAGGCAUUCGAGGUUCGCUCGUGCUAUUCAAUGCCUUAUUUUAUCAUUCAGAGAUGAAUAAUCUAUAUGGGGGAGAGUUGAAACACCCUGGGUUUUGGCCCUUAGAAAUUUUUGAGUUUUGAACUCACUGUCCUAGUAAUGACUCACCAUAUGAGUCGUAUGGUGUGGGUAUGGGUCAGGUGACCCUAAUCGUAAGAAGUGCACUGGAUAGUGGUUUUGGUUUUGAUUCUUCUAUGGUUACAAUUGGGGUGAUAUGAGUCGUUAGGGGUGGUGACGAUCUGUUUCGUCGGUCCCUUAAUAAAAUUAGAAACUUAGUGACUUGACUUGGCUCUAAGUAUGAGUGUCUCACUAAGAUCCGUGAGGAUAGUGUAUGAGUGUUAUAGUUGAGUUUUAAGUUGUCCAGUGUUAAUCCCUUUGUAAUUUAUCUUGGGUAGGACUAGGACAUAUGAGUCAUAUGGUUUGGUAAUGAGUGGGGUAAGGGAAUCAUAUGGUAGGAAGUGUAUGGGUAUCCAAUUCACUAUAUUGGUGAUGACUCAAUGGUACGAUUCGUAUGUCAUGGUCAUGAGUCACAGGAUUGACUUGUAACCACCUGUAGUAUUUUUAUAGUUUUGAGUUGGGGGUAUUUUGGAAAUUUUCCCUUUUUAACUCCCUUUGAGGCCAUGAAUUAAAACACCUUUUGGGUCUUUAUUAACCUACUAUUUCUAAUUAAGCACUCUUACAAUCUCUCAAACUCUCUGUUCAAGAAAGAGAUGGGUUUCUUCAAGAUAAUCAAUCAAGGCUUUCAAGGGUGGUUUCUCUUCAUCUUCCUUGGUGCCUAAGGCGUGUUACUCCUCUCUUAUUGUUAUUUUACAAAGAUGAUGUGUUUUAAUAUAUUAUUUUUAUGAUAUUAUUAUGGUUGGAAAUAAUGGUUGGGGGUAUUGGAUGUUCAUGGUUGAAUAAUAUUUCUCAUGGUUUAAUUACGUUUUAUUUCAUGCUUUUAGUAUGAUUUUGACAUUGUGGGAUGCAUGGUAAUGGUAAAUGGAUUUAGGGGUAUUAUGGAUUCCCCAAAUUACUUGGUUAUGGUUUUUAAACUUAUGUUCCCUCAACUUGUUUGUUAAAAUGCCAAUGAGAAUAAUUUUGUAACAUUGUUUUACUACUUUUGCUAUCUUUGCAUUGCGUGAAUGGUAAUAGAACCUAAAUUGGUUCGGUUGAUUUUAAAUGAUUUGGAAAGGCCUUGGUGACCAUGGUUUUUGUUUAAUUGAAAACUUUGGAGUCAACUUGGUUUAAUUAUUUUGGUAUGGCAUAAAAGGAUAAACUUGUAAGCUCUAACUUUUGUAUGACAAUACCAACGGUUAAUACCUAAACAAAAGACUCCUCGGUAAAUGGUUGGAAUAUGUAAUUGGUUUUAAUAUGGGCUUAAAGAGGGAUAUGUUAGCAAAACCGUUAAAGGUGGAGGUCCCGAGGGGGCCAAUACAUGAAACUCAUGUUUGCCAAUGUGAGGUUUGGGAAUUGUGAUCAUGUGCAUGAUGUCACACUUUGUAUUUUGGGAGAUGUACUAGUCAUCUCAGGUUUUUCUCCAGUUUGUGAAGCUAACACACACUGAGGCCCUUUUAGCGGAGGGAGAUAAACCCAUAUAUCCCAUGGGUGGACAUUUAGGAUGGCAGAGCUACACAACCAAGGUUAAGAUUUUAAAUGCAUGCUAAGCCCGUUUUCCUAUCCUAAAAUGAUAUAUAUGUAUAUGUGUGACUACAUAUGGUUAUUUGAUUUGGUUUUGAAUAAUGACAUUAUUUUAUCUAUAUCACUAAGUACAUGAUAGCAUUCACUACGCUAACCAUCUUCAGGCGCUGUAUCCCUACACAAUGCAGGAACCAUCCAUACUGCCAUUCCUCCUACUCAGCGACUUGGAUUAAGGUACAACUUUGAGUCAGAUUGAAGUGGAGAUAUUCCAUACUUUGGAAAACUCCAUUUAUUGCUAUGGACUUCUUUUCAUUAUAUUUGUUUCUUGGAUUUUGGUUUUGGCUAUGGCGGGAGCAUAUUCCGACCAGAUGUAAUUUGAUUCUGGUUAGAGGCUUUGUCGAACUACUUUGGGGAUGGGUGCUAUCGGUAUUAGUGCUAGCCUUAGUAUUAGUAUUAGCAUUAUGGUUGGCAUCGAUUGGAUAAUUGAUUAAGGUUGUUAGAUUAUGAAUAUAGACCUUAUUUAAUGUCUUUGAAUUAUUAUUAAUUUAUCUUGUUAUAUUUUCAGAGUUCAUCCAACAUAGGGUGCAUGGCAGUCACGGUUGGGUAUCGGGGGUGGUCUCUGGUCCUGAUGGGAUUGAGAUACUCGAUACGACUAGGCCCUAGUUUGGGUCGUGCCAAUACCAUUGUUUUCAUUUAAAAAUAAUGUGUAUUGGACCUUCUCAUUUUCAUAUUAGUCAUAUUCAUGCUUGGGAAAUCCUUGUCAAGUCUAUGUUAUGAAUCGAGACUAUACCCUAGUCGCAGCAUAGUGCUUAGAGCCACAAGUGACCCUAAUCUAACCCAUAGCCUGGCAUGAAGUAAGAGGACUGAAAAUAAAUAGAAAUUAGAUGUUGAAUAUGAAAGUCACUAAAUAAAUACCAAUUACUAAUUAGUAUGGUAGAUGUCUGACUAUAUCAUAAAGUUGAAAUACAAUUCUACAUAUAAAAAGCCUCUAUUAAAGAUGAGUUACUUGGACGAGUCUCCAACUAACUCUAACUGUGUGAAAGAUAAAUAAUUGAAAUAAUGAAAUAUGUCUCACCCUCAAAAGAUGAGGACUCACCAAACUUUGUUGCUAAGAUGAAUACGGGAUCGUGCUAAUCGCGAACUGGAUACUAAGCAUCUGAACAUAUAUUAUAAUAUAAUGUAGAGCAAAAUAAGUAUGCAGUUAACACUAUGAAUGUACUAAGCAUGUAAAAUAAUCACUACAAUAUAUAAGAACAUGCAAAAUAUAAAUUCUUUAGAUCAAAAGUAAUCUUGAUGUAUACUAUGAUGUAAAGACCCAUCUGGAUAAGCAUAAAUACUAAAAUGGAUAAAUAUAAUGAGAUAAUUGAAAUAUAGAGAACUAGACUGAAUUGUGGGUCAUGAAAAAUACUAUAGUCUAAAAUUAUGUGAGUUUUCUUAAUCGACAUACCCUAAUUGAGUAAGCAUGGAGCCCAACCUAGGUUUUAUUAGAAGGUUGCAAUAUAGCUUGCCAAGAAUAUAAAGCCAUGAUGGAUGUGAUCUCUAACUUAAGCCCAUUUUGGGAAUAUAUAAACCUAUAUUGGAACAUAGUUUUAGGACUUGAUUAUACUAAACUUACAUCCCUUAGAUGCUCAAUACUACUCCCAACUUAAUGUAACUGAUAACUCCUAAGGAUAUUGAUGUAAAUAAUCAUGGGUGUCAUACUUGACUACCAUACUACUAGUGAACAUUGCUUUUAUGAUAAAAUUGACCCAUGUUCAUUGAUGGCAUUCUGGGUACCAUGCUAAUCAUGAAACUAACUUUUGGAGAAAAGUGUUCAAAAGCAUUGAUGGCAUAUCCGGAUGUCAUGCAUGUCAUGCAUGUUCCUAUUAUGAACCGAAGCUCCUAGUUAUCAUUUGAGUAUGCUUAUAUAUAAAUCAUGUAUGUUUGAAUCAGGAUACUUGUAAAUUUAUAGGAGACAUGAAUGAAGUAAAUGCAUAAGAAGAAACAUAUGAGGACUGAGUUUUGGAAGAAAUCUAUAAGGCCGGACUUAACCCUAAAUAUUGAUUCAUGAAGAUGCUAAUAUUCUGAUAGUAUGUAUUAUCUAAAAAUACUAUUUAGAAUAUGUUUUAUCUAAAAACACUCUGAUGGUCUGCACAACUGAUAAUACUGAAUACUAGACUGAUAAUAUACAUGAAUGCUACAUCAUCGUGUGUUCAUAAAAUGCCAGGGUAAAUUAAGAAAAAUCCAAUUUCAUACGAAGAUAUUGUAAAGUUGAACUAGGGAAUAACUGUAAAAGAUUAAGUUAUGCAAUAUACAUAGAAUGACAUGAAAACAUGUAUUAACAUAAACUAAUCAUAAAUACUGAUUUAUAAUGAAAAUCUUAAAGUUGGUACAAGCCCUAAAAAUCGUGAAACUUGUAGGUGAUGUUUUUCUAAAGCAUUUAGGGACACAGGGGGUGAAAGGAGACCCUUUUUGAAAUCACACAUACCUGAAAGAAUAUGAUCCUUGAGAAAUUAUUGAACUUGGGAGCUUUAGACUUAAAGGAUUUGAUAAACACUUCUUACAUGUUUCUUGAAUUUUGUGAGAUGAAAAAAGGAAUUUGGAACAUUCUAUCGAUUUUUUCCAUAGAAAUAAUUCUUAUCGUGUGAUUAAAGCCACAACAAGGGUUUAGAGGUAAGGAAAGGACCAAAACAUUUUAGAAAACUAUUCAAAUGUGCAAAAAAUACCAUUGAGUGGUCUGGGUGUUGAUUCAUCAAUCCCUUGAUCAAUCUCCAACCAAAUCAUCAACUUCUGGUCAAAUUUUGACCUUAUUGGUUAGGCUUGAUGGUUCAGUUGAAGAAAUCACCCAAAUGAUGGUUCACUUGAUGGGUCAUCACCUAAGUGACGAUUCGUCACUUCGAUUGUCACUCUUUAGCAUACAGAAAUCUAAUUCUUUACUCUAAUAUUGGAUUGAUUAUUAGUUAGUAAAGAUAAUAAAAACACUCAAAUACCUUUAAUUAGGUGGGUUUUUAGCAGCAAAAUUCUUCAUGCUUAACAAAUUAUACUAGUUUUAAGAUGACAUAUGAAAACUUAAUCGGUAAAGAAGCUUUCAACUUAAGUUUGAGAUAGAAGUUUCUUAUGAACUUUAUUCAUUUCAAAAUCUCUUUACACACUAAGAAAUUUAUCUUGACAUCUAUGUAAAACUAGAAUGUGUCGGGGUCAGUUCCUUACACAUUUGAAGAACAACAUGGAUCAUAGUUUAGAAUGUUUGGGAUGUUACAGUCUCCUCCAACACGAUUGAUUUAACCAAUAAAAUACUUAUUAAGAUAACUAUUUCAAAAUAUAUAAAUGACAAAUGAGAAUGAGGCCAAUUUGCUUUUGAAAAGAGUUGGACCAAUGAUAAUAAAAUGGAGUUAGAUCCGUGAUAAAGAACGUAGAGGUUUUAAUUCUGGUCAAGCCAUAAUAUUGGGAAUGUUACAUUAGAGAGCUUAGUAUGAAUCAAUAUUUUGACCUCUUGGAAUUGCAAUAAAUUUGGUAGCAGAUUACGAAAUCAUGGUGAUAUUCUCUAUCUAAUUAAUGGGGGAGUUUUUCUAAAAUCAUCCACCUUGCACCCACCCCAAGUAAAUUGUCAAAAUAAAUCACACAAAGGUAGAUUAGAAAUCUCUCGUAUCACUCUCAUACUUGGUAUGCAAAUUAUAUAUUAAAUAGGAUAGAAACAGAGGACUUGUUUAGGUGUCAUUCCUAUUUAUUUUGGCGUCAUUUCUACUGGUUCUAAUGGAGGACUUGUUUGGUUCUCAUGGUUCUCAUUUCUAAUGGUUCUCAUUUGGUUCUAAUAGAGGACUUAUUUGGGCUUCAUUUCUAUCUAUUUCAUCGUUGGUAGAGAAGAGAAGAAGAAGGAGAAAGUGUGUUGUAUAUUGUAUAAGUAGGUGAUGAGAAAAGAAAUUAUAGAGAGAGUGGGUAUGUGGGAUCUGUAAAGGGAAAUAAAUGAGGAUUUUGCCCAGUUUGGUGUAAUUUGGGUCAAUUGUGGUAUCAAUUAAAUAGUUCAAAGUUUGACAAUAGAAGGUUGGGUUCCCAAAUAUGUUUAAAUAAGGGACUAGGCUACUUGGAAAUUAGUCAAAACAUAGUCAACUUCUUAACAAACUUUAAACAAAUGAAUUUUCCAAUUAAUCAAUGAGCCUUUGAACUUGAUAAACUAAAACCAUUUAUUUAUGACAUAAGAACUAAGUUUUUGGAAAGACAAUCUUAUUAUGUGAUUUAGCCUCAAAUUUAAUCGACUUGAAAGUUUUAACUAAUAUUUUAAUAUUUAUUAAAAAUGAUAAAUAAUAAAACUCAUAAUAAUGAGUAUAUAGAGAUAUAUCUUUACUUUUAUGAAAAUAGUAAAAUGCCUUAAAAUAGAUAUUGAAAAUAGAUUUGAUUUUCUCAAAAUAAUUCUUUCAGAUUGUUUUGAAUUGAAGAAACUUAAAAUUACUACAUAGUGGGCGAAAAAAAUUGGGUGUCAACAAUGACAACUCUGAAUCUUCUAAUUAAAACUACUAAAGAUUUACAUAAAUUAAACUUCCCCUAAACAUAGGAAGAAAUCUUAGGUAAAGAAACUCUCGAUAAAAAUAAAAUCAUUUGACACCCAUAUCCAACCAAAAUGAAUUUCUACUUCUCUUGCUCCUCUGUAGCCACGACUAGAAAGAAAGUGAAGUUUGCUUCGAUUGAAGGUAACACUAAGAGGAUAGGCUCAGAUAUGAAAAAUACAAAAAGAGUUAUUAUAAAAGGCUCAUGAACUCAACAUCCCUUGUGAUGCAGAAUGGCUAAAUUCAUCUAUAGUAGUCAACACAAUAAGUCUGAAGUAUUUCCAAAUAAUGAUGAUGCAAUCAACACCGUUACAAAAUUUAGGGAGCUGUUGAUGUUGGAACAAGAUAAAGCAUGGUGGCAUAUUAAAAGUUCAUGGAGCAAAGGUCCAGACAGUUGGUCCUCCAACUUCUUGGUUGUUUGCUUUGUAAAUUUUUCUUGUUUCACCAUAUUUUAUUCCUCUAACUUUUACAAAUCCCUAAAUUUUGCAAAGAUCUUAAAGCAAAAUCAUGAUUUAGAAGUACCUCAAACUCAAUGUGGUAAGUUCUACAUACUAAUAUAGACAUAAAAUCACAAAUGUUACAAAGAUCAUUAGCCUUUAAGAACACUUUCUACCUUUUAUUGGAUGAGUCUUUCCACUUAGUGGUACCUUAAUCAAAGAAACCUUCACUAUCUCUCUGGUCAUAACAAAAUAGGAGAAAGAUAAGAAGAAAUGUGUUUAUUUGGACGAGGGAAUCUAAUGAUUUUAUUAUUGUUUGUUUCUUUGGCAAGGAUUGGCUUCUAUAUAUAGUUUUAAAUUUUAACCAUGCAAAUAUUUGAAUAGUUUGAAUGAGAAGAUUCAUAGUUGUCACCAAUAACUAUUUUGGAAUGAAAGUAAAUGAGAGUAGAUUAUACAUGAUGUUAGAUAAUAUUGUCUUGCUAUCUAUGUUGUUUUAAUGCUCCGGUCUUAUCCUGACCAAUUCUUUUGAGUCAAACUUUUCUAAUUAGGAGAAUAAUUUAAUUGGUUAAAAUUUUGAGCAUCAUCGAAAGAUGGUAUCACAUCAUGAGACUAGACCUUGGACGUAACUGGCACUCGAAACUAUGAGUGGUCUAAGAGAACCACUUAGCUUACUAUAAUGGCCCAAAAGUACCCUCUGGACGUCACAGGGUGCUUAAGACUAUGAAUAAUCCCAAGCUAACCCUUUAAGCCUACUUAACUUGGAACUCAUAAGAAAAGUAAACCAACAUAUAUAAAAUCAGAAGAUAACUAAAUUAAUAUCUUAACUAAAUAUCUUUAACUUGGAAAUCCUUAAAGAAACACUCUUGUACCUAAAACAAAAAUAAUCAAAAAAGCCUCUACUUCUAACUAGAGAGCCACUGGGAUAGACCUCCAGCUGACUCAAACAUAAAUAGAAAUCAAAUAACUAAAAAUACUUCAUCAAUAUCAAAGUCUAAUAAACUGGUCCUUAGACUCUAAGGACACACCAAAAAAUUAGGAUAUAGGUGUAAUGCUCGUAAUCAAUCGUGUUGCUGGAACUAAGCACUAGGACCUACAUUAUAAGACAAUGUAACACAUCAACAUAUAUAUGGGUUAGUACCUUUGGAAUUAUUGAGUAUGUGGGGUCGAAUGCAUAAGUAAAAAUGAUAACUGAAUAUUUAAAUAAACUUUCAAUGAUGUAUGCUAAGUGUAAAUCACUCACCUUGGAUAUGAAUAAAACAAAAGACUGCAAUAUCAAAAUCAAAGAUGAAGAAGCAUAAGAGUAAACUUUGUGAGCCAUGACACUUAGAAUCUACAAUCUUUAUUUACUAUGAUUUCUUAGAGAGGUUCUUCUAACAGACAUAAACCAUGUAAGAUACCAUGGAGUCCAACGUCUUACCCAUAUUAGGGAGAGCUGUUCUAACAUUGCCAUCAGAAUAGAACCUUAAUCUUAGUGAUCACUAAACUUAACCCAUAUUGGGACUUAAACCUACUAUGGCUCGUAGUUUCUAGGAAUCAAGGAUACGUUUAUCUGCAUUUCCUUCUUGGUGAUAAAUGCUAAUCCCAUAUUACUUAUACGCUUAUACUUUAGGAAAUCCACCUUAAAAUAGCAUAAGGGUUUGUAUACAAGAAACUAAUUAUGCCUUUCUUUGCUUUAAAUCAUAAGGAUGGUAAAUGAUUGUGGAUUUCAAGCCUUAUCAUUAAAUAAAAAGAUCAAUUUUUUCUUGUAAACCUAGUGCUUAAACUUAAGAUUUAAAUCUCAUACUUUCUUUCAUAUAGAUUGUAAUACAAUAUCAUGCUUAAACUCAAUUAGAAAUCCUUAAUCAGUGUUUCAAAUCAAACUCAUGGUAUUCAAGACAUAAUAGAGAAUUCUUUAAGUCAAGACGUAAAUAGACGAGAGCAAUUAUAUACUAUAAUACUUCAAUCACAUAAUAAUUUCAUAUGCUCAAAACAAGGUAACUUGGGUAUGAACCUUAGUUUCAUAUCAUAUGACUUAAACUUUAAACAAGUUUUGGGCAUAAAGAUGGUAGAAUGUCCUUUUUCAUAACCCCACAUACCUCAAUAGCUAGAUUCUUAAAGAUUGCCUGAACUUGGAAGCUUGAGCUCUUGGAUUCUUAGGGAAAGGAGCUUGAACUUAUUCUUAAGAAGGGGGAGGGUUUCUAGUGAGUAAUUUUUGAGAGAAAGGGGUAAAUAAUGCCCCUAUGGAUGUCCCCAAUUGUGUUAUGAAAGACUUGGAUUAAGGGAAAAAGACUUAAUUGCCCCUUGAUUUCUUUAAUCAAGACGCUGGAUUACUACAAUAAUGCGCUGUGACCCUUACUCCAGUGAAGUGACCCUUGCGCCAUGACCCUCACUUCGGUGGAGCUACCCUCGAACUACAACCCUUUCUCCGAUGGAGCCACCCUCACUUCAUAGGCCUAUCACGUGGCCUCUCUAUCUUGUUUAUCCAAAUUUAUCCCGAAUCCUAUAUGAAAACCUCAAAACUCUCCCGGGAUAUACCUUUAACCUCCCUAGUCAUGAUCAACUCAAAACCAAUGUAUCGGGGUUGAGAAUGCCAAAGUAAAAUUUGUAAAGUCUCGGGGUCUUGAAAUUACUAAGUCCUUAAUACUUAGUGAAAAUUUCAACCCUUGAACCCCCUUAAAGCAUGCAACUAUGAGCUGAAUUGAGCUUAGAAUCUUACGAGGCAUUACAAUUUCCCAACCUUUAGACCAUUCGUCCUUGAAUGAGAACGUUAAAGCUGAGAUACUAUGGAGACUAAGAGUUUAUAAUAUUGAUAAGCUGAAACAUAAUCAAUUAACUGGGUCUCAAAAAUGAUACAUGCUACAAGUGUUGAGCUGAUUUCAAGAAUACAUACUGUGACAUGAGAAUAGUUGUAUAGCUAACAUAGAGAAAUAAAAAAGCUAAGCUAAAGAGAAUCAUUACCUCAAGAUAAGUCAAAAAUUUGUGGGGAAAAAAUGAGGAUACCAGGCUCAUAUGUCUGCUUUUGCUUCCUAAGUAGCUCCCUUAACAGACUGAUUUCUCCAAAAAAUGUUAACCCAAGAAACUUAUUUAACCUCCACGGCACGGGCUUAUUACGGAGGACUACUGAAAUGUGCACCUUGUUGUUGAACCCCUCCAUGACGUGGGGCUAAUUCUUUGCGAUGCGGGCUUAUCGCGGAGGGUUACUAUAAUAUGCACUUUGUUGCAUUCUAUUCCCUAUUUUCUUAUCUUCUCCAUUCCUCACUUACAUGCUUCUUUUACAAAACUGAUUGCUUCUCUAGACGUGAAAUUCACUCUUUUCUUGUUCUCACCUUUUUUUCACGAGUUUCUUCUUAUAUGCACACUCAACAAAAAUAAUAAAAUAACGUAAGAAACAAUGGGUUGUUUCCCACUUAGUGCCUUAGUUUUGCUCGGCCACAACACCUCAGUUUGUAUUUUUCAUUUUUUUUCUAUUUUUUCUAUUAAUAACUAAGAAAUAAACUACACUAUUACAUCAUAUUCAUAGGUUGCCUCCCACGCAGCACCUUAGUUAACAUAAUGGAAUGACUCAACUUAACCUCAUUCAUCUGCAAAGGUGAUGGACGUAUUGUGUUGAUCCCCCUGAACUGGCCAAUAAUUCUUUACUCUUUGUAUAUUUACUAAGAAUUUGGUACUCUUAUCCUUAUUCCACAGUUCUACAGCUCUAUGAGAAGUCAUUCUCACAACUUCAAAUGUACCAAACCACUUGGACCUUAGUUUCCCUAGAAAAAAUAUCAAUCUAGCAUUGAAUAGUAAUACAAGUUGUCUAGGCUUAAAUGCUCGAUUUAGAAUAUGCUUAUCAUGACAUCUUUUGGUCUUUUCUUUAUACAAUUUCACAUUCUUAGAGGUAUGUAAGCGAAACUCAUCAAGCUCAUUCAGUUGUAACCAUCUCUUUUCCCCAGCAACAUUCAUAUCAAGAUUCAACUUCUUUACAUCCCAAUAAGUUUAGUGCUCAAGAUCCAUAGUACAUCUCAGGUUAGUUUUGGAAAUUUCGGAUAAGUGUAAAGGCGUAUUUGGACUUCUAAAAUAGUAGCGGAGGGUAAUUAUCCCAUGGUUCCCUACCCAGUCUAGUGUCGGGGAAGCCCGCGAUGGAUCUCGUAGUGCUUCGAAGCCCAUGGUGCCCUGCCCAGUUCGGUUUGUGAAUUUUCUUUAGUUUUGUUCUGCAUUUUUAAGGGCAGGUAGGUCAUUUUCCCUUCACCCAAUAGGUCCAUAACACGGGAUUAAAGCCCCAAAUAGAAUAUUUUGCCAUAUUUUACUCAAUUCUCUCAUAAUCAAAAGCAUUUACUCUCAAGAACAAACCCUAGCCCUUCAAGCUUCGAUUAUAAUUCUCAAGACAACCCUCAAUAACUUCCAAGAAUACAUUAAUUGAGGUAUGUUAAAUGUUCAUCCAUGGGUCCUUUCCACCCAUGGAGUCCAAGAACCCAAUUUCAAAUGCAAAUUUGUGAUUUUUAUAUGUUAUUGUGAUUUUAGCCAUGAAUCCCCAUGAAUUUUGAUUCUAUACCAUGUUUACAUGUAAUUUUUGUUGUUAUUAAUCCCCACACAUUUUUGAAUGGUCUUGUUCACUGAAUUAAACCUUAAUUGGUGAUUUUAGUAGAGAAAUCAUGCUAUUACUAUGAGUUUUAAACUAUUCCCAAGCUUAGAUUAAACCAUAAAUUACAAGUGUUUGAUGAAAUGCCCACAAGAAGGAGUUUCAAAUAAAUUCUUACAUAUCAUGUCCUCAAAGUUUUAGUACAAUCUUGCUAUUCUUGUUAUCGAGUCCUGGGGGUUUGAAUAGCUAAAAUGUAGCUGCUUACCUAGUUUUUAGUAUUUAUAGAAUGAUUAUGGAUUAGUUACAAGCCCUAUCAUUUGAGUAAAUAUUUUAAAUAGUUAAGCAUAGUUAGUCCAAUAUUCUAGGUCUUUCAGUUAGGAGUAGGAUUCAACACCAAGCUAAUGCAGGGAUGAUAGCUUCCCCGUCAGUUGGGUAGAGUCGUUAGUAAAAGUCCUUUCAUUCUAGAACUAAUUAGACAAUGUAGGAUAUUAGGAUUCACCCGUCAGUUUAGUCUUGACUUCACCUAGGUGUUACCGGUUAUUUUAGGCUUGACAUCCUAUUUAUUUAGUAGCUUAGGUGAUCCACGCAGCCAUGUGUUAGUACCCAUGGCAUGGUACUGACACACUUCCAACUGGGGUCACAGGUUGCACCCCAAUUAGCUCAUUAGGGCCUGUCGGUUAGAUGAUAACUCCCACAGUCUCAGUCCAAUAUUUAACUUAGUAAUCAGUUUUAGUUUUGCUGACCACAACAUAAAGAUAUCAAUUAUCUAUUUAUUAGUAUUUAGUAUUUUAGUUUACAAAUUAUAUUCAGAACAUGUGUUAUGCUUGGUCAUGUAUUCUUAGUCUUUACAGAUUUCAUGCAUUCUACUCGGUACUUCAUGCUAUUCAUUCAAUCAGUUAUUACUCAUGCGUAUGAAAAUAUGCAUAUGAGCCUAACCUUAUUUAGCAUACCAAUACAUUCAAAGUGCUGACUACAUACUAAUUUUUUUGCGCUAUGAUGUUUCAUAUCAUAGGUUCGAAUGCUUAGGUUCCCGACCGCACCUAGAUAUCCCAACAUACUCACAAAAGUAGCAGUGGUGAGUCCUCAUGUUCUGAGGACCGUUAUGUUUAUUUUAGUAUAUUCAGUUCAGUAGUCAGUUAGAGUUAGUUGGGGACUUAUCCUAUCAACUCUAUAGUCAGAUAGCUUAGAGGAUUACAAACUAGUCCAGAUAGUUAGUCAGUUUUAAAUUGUCAUUAUUAGCCAUUUUAUCAGUAUUACCAGUGUUGUUUUAUAAAUAUUAUCAAAACUAUAAUUUAAAACCUUAUGAUAUUUUUUAGUUAAAUUAUACAAAAUACUCUGUUGUUAUCAGUUUUAUUCAGUGCUCAUAGCAGGUACUAGUAUCAUGGGUUAGCUUAUGGUCACUUGUGACUAUAAGCACCGUGUAGAACCUAGGGUGUACUUUUGGGGCAUUACAAACUUGGUAUCAGAGCCUAAGGUUUUAAUGUGUCCUAGGGAGUCUAAAAGCCGCAUUGAGUAGAGUCUUGUGCAUGUCUAUGAAGUGCGCAAGAUUUAUGGACAAGAGGCUACAAGACAUUAUAGGAAAAGUUUCCCUUCUUUCAGUAUUCAUGUCAUGUGAAGUAGCAUGAGAUCCAGUUAAACUCUAUGUCUAAUUUAAUUCUUCCUUCUGUUUAUAGAAUAUGCCUCCCAAAAAGACUAACAGAAGAAGUAAUGGAAAUAGGCCAGCACUUCUGUCCAUUUAGAAAGGUCCCCUGAAUAAGUAUACCUCUCAUGCAAAGUUUUGAGCUAUAUUCACUACUCUAGCUCUCUCUACAACAGCUUAAAUAUAAUACCCCGCAUGUUUCUAAGCUAGGAAGUGAAUAAGUAUUCCUACGUAUGAAAUCUCCUAUCUUGUGAUUCAUACUUGAGUACAUGACUUACCAUGAAUAUCCUAGUGAUAGGAUACCUUAUGAUGCAUUAAGCAUGUUCAUAUGAGUCACUUAAGGUAAUACAAGCUAAGAGUUUUUGAAUCCAUCAAGUUUUAGUGUUCGGUUUGUAAGGGUCAUCUUUGAAUGAGUAUAACUCGAUGUUAAUGUGGUAUUUGGGCUAAUUUAGACCCAUCAAAUUGUAUAGAAUAGAAUUAGCUUUCCAACGAUACCAAUUUUGCCUUAAUGUAAUACCAUAGCAAAAAGUUAUUCCCAUUUUCGUGAGAGACAGUAAGUAUAGGCGAUUGGUUAGGCGCCGCCCAACCUAUGCAUAGGCGAUUGGUUAGGCGCCGCCCAACCCAAGCAUAGGAGAUUGGUUAGGCGCUGCCCAACCCAAGCAUAGGCGAUCACUUGGACGCCGCCUAAGUCAAUUCCAGGUGUCAAAAACACUCCGUUUUGAGUUAUUUUAAAGCUAAUUAAGUCUUUAGGUACUCCUUACACGUCCCUAAACUUAACCCUACGAAAUGUAUAGCUUAUAAACAUAUUACAACCCUAUUUUCAUCUCAAAACUCAUCAUCCAAGAGCACUAAAGGAGAAAAACAACUAGGGUUGCAUAAUUAAGUUUGAAGAUCCGAUUUCAAGGAAAUUCCUCCGUCAAUCAUCAAGAAUCUUCCUUCUAAGGUAUACGUAAUAUUCAUCCAUGAAUUUCUUUCAUCCGUGGAGUUCAAUAAUCAAUCUUUAAAAUACAAAAGCUUGGUUGAUUAUGGUGAUAUGAUCAUACUCAUGUUGAGACUUGUUUGUUUUGCUAUAUAAUAGUAUGCAUGAGUUGAUUUAUGGAUCCCUUUCAUCCAUAAAGCUCAAAAAUCCCCUUUUUCAUUAUAAAAUAUGAUUUCUAUAUUGUUGGGUGUUGAUGAUCAUGCUGUUGAUAUUGGGUGAUUCUUAAGAUGGAAUCUUUAUAUGUUUUUAUGAAUUCAUNNNNNNNNNNNNNNNNNNNNNNNNNNNNNNNNNNNNNNNNNNNNNNNNNNNNNNNNNNNNNNNNNNNNNNNNNNNNNNNNNNNNNNNNNNNNNNNNNNNNNNNNNNNNNNNNNNNNNNNNNNNNNNNNNNNNNNNNNNNNNNNNNNNNNNNNNNNNNNNNNNNNNNNNNNNNNNNNNNNNNNNNNNNNNNNNNNNNNNNNNNNNNNNNNNNNNNNNNNNNNNNNNNNNNNNNNNNNNNNNNNNNNNNNNNNNNNNNNNNNNNNNNNNNNNNNNNNNNNNNNNNNNNNNNNNNNNNAUGAACUUCCAUGCUAUUGGUAUGUGUUGCCAAUGUGAUUAUGUAAAGAACGUGAUAUUAAGAUUGUGCAAGUACUUCUAUGUGAUAUGAAAUCCUUUCCAUGCAAUACAUUGUUGAUAACCAUGCAUAGUAUGAGAUCCCUACUUAUGAUAUUAUAAAUUAUGGACUCUACUCUUAUGAUCAAGUAAGUCAUGUGUGUCAGUUUCCUUCCAUCGAGUCCUGGGGGUACUUGUACCCAAAAACUAUAGUUUUGUGCCUAGAUCCAUGUCAUGUUUCACGAUAUCCGAACUCAAGCUAUCCAUAGACUUCAAUCAGUCAUGUGACUCAGGAAAACCUCAUGAUCUUAGUCAGUUGUCAGAUAUCAGUAACAUUCUGCCAGUCAACAGAAUUCAGUAAGAUUAAGUCAUGCAUAGUCAGUUAUUCAUGUUCAGUUCCUCCAGAUGGGAGUAGCGAUUAGCACUGAGUGAACCCAAGGAUGGGAACUCACCCGCCAGUUCAGGGUGUGAUUCUUAGUAGUCAUCCUUAUGUUCUAGAACUACGUAGCCAGCGUAGGUUGAGACAUCUUAACUCGUCAGAUUAGGGUUGAUGGGGAGGCUUAACCCGUCAGUUUAGGGUUCCCACCGUUCUCAUUGAUUACCCUCCAGAAAAGGGUCACUCACAGGCUAUCCUUACUCGUGGCACGAUAUUGACACCCCUCUAGUCGGGGCAGAGAUUGGAACCCAGCUUAGCCAUAACGGCAUACAUGGGGCAUGUCAGUUAAACACUACUUCCCACAGUUUUAGUAUUAGUCUCAGUAAAAGAACUUAGGGCGUUCUUUAAAUUUUAGUAUAUACAGGAUUGUUAGAUACAGUCAUCCAUGUUAUCAGUUUCAGUAUCAGUCUCAGUAAAAGAACUCAGGGCGUUCUUUAGAUUCCAGUAUAUACAGGACUAUUAGAUACAGUCGACCAUGUUAUCAUCUUCAGUAUCAGUUAUGACAGUUAACAGUAAACCAUGUAUUAGCUUACAGGUCAUGCUAUCACGUACUCAUGGUCCUAGUUUCUAUAUAUGUGUGUUUGCACUCCCAUGUUCAUAUCAGUCAGUCAGUGUUGUUCAUGCAUGAAACCCUUUAUGUUCAGCCUACCUUCCUUGUAUACUCAGUACUCUAGUUGUACUGAUGCAUUUGUACUAUGGUUCUUUCUUUUUAUGUUACACCAUAGGUUCCGAGACACGAGCUCCAGCCCAGCAGUAGCGGUAGCAUUCCAGUCACAGAGACACAGUGAGUCCUCAUUAAUUUGAGGACAAUAUGAUUUGAUUCAUUUAUUUAUUUCUUCAGUUCAGUUUUAUGGAGUUAGUUGGAGACAUGUUCCUUCAACUCCUUAGUCAGACAUUUUAGAGGCUUUCAGAUUUAUGUUCAGAUUUACGUUCAGAUUGAGUUAUUUUUGGUAUUUUCACCUAUAUGAUUGUAUUCAGUUGAACGUUAUGGCCUUACAGUUCUAUGUAUUCCACAUUAUUAUAUCAUAAUUUGUAGUAUUCAAGUACAAAUAUCAGUCAUGGGUUAGCUUGUGGUCCCUCGGGGUCAUGAGAAUCUUGUAGCAUUCUAGUUCAGUGAAUCGGGGUGUUACAAACUUGUUAUCAGAGCCUAAGGUUCAAUAAAGUCCUAGGAAGUCUGAAAGCCGUAUCUAGUAGUGUCUUGUACAGGGUGUGUUGCGCACCACAUUUAUGUGCGGGAGGCUAUAAGAUGUUUUAGGAAUAGUCCCCUUUCUUCAUUAGUCAUGUCAUGAUAGUGAGCAUAAUCACAAGUUAAACUCUCAGUCUAAUCCAUUCUUAUCUUAUUCCAGACCAUGGACCCAAAGAGAAGAAACUAGCUAGCUCCUCAGCCCGAAGAUCUUUUGGGCGAACAUGUUUCCCAUGCGGAGUUUAGAGUCAUAUUUACCACACUUGCUCAGUCCAUGGCUGCACAAAAUGAACGGCUACCAGUUAUUCUGGCUAAUCCAAUGGCCACUCCCAAAGCAUCUAGGGUUUGGUACUUCACCCAGAUGAACCCUCCAUCUUUCCAUGGGUCUAAGUCUGAUGAGGACCCUCAGGAGUUCAUUGAACAUGUCCGGAAGGUCAUUGACAUCAUGGGUGUUAAUUCUAUUAAGAGUACUGAGUUAGCUGCCUACCAGUUAUAGGAUGUUGCUCAUGAUUGGUACAAACAAUGAAAGUCUGACAGGUUAGAUGAUUCAGGCCCUAUCGAGUGGGAGGAAUUUGUCACAGCCUUCUUAGACAGAUUCUUUCUCCAAGAGCUGAGGGAAGCCAAAGUUCUUUAGUUCAUCAACCUCAGGCAGGGGAAUAUGACGGUUAGGGAGUAUUCUCUCAAAUUUACUCAGCUAGCCAGGUAUGCUCCUCAUAUGGUUGCAGACAAUAGAGCUAAGAUAAGCAAGUUUGUGUCAGGGGUCAAUGAUAGCGUGGUAAAUGAGUGUAGGUCUGUAAUGCUGAUCGGUGAUAUGAACUUAGCAAGACUCAUGACCCAUGCCCAAUAAGUAGAAGAGUAGAAGUUUAAGACUAGGGAGAGGCAGAACAAAAGAGCAAGGUCAGGUAAUUUCAACUUUGCUUACCCUAAGUCAGAUGGAGGAAACCGUUCAUAGUUUUUCUCCAAGUCAGCCAUUCCAGCUCCUUCCUCUGCUAGCGCUCCAGUGCCAAAGUUCAGAGACGGCAAUAGAAAUAAAGCGCAGGCUCUAAAUCUCAGGGCAGUGUUAGCAGUGCCCGAACAAAUCCCUUUUGUCAGACUUAUGGUAAUAGCCACAAGGGCAUUUGCAGAGCCGGUAGUGAUGUCUGUUUUGGUUGUGGCAAGCCAGGACACAGGAUUAGGCAGUGUCUAAAGUCAAGUCUUCAGGGUCAGCAAAAUUAUUCUACAGCUCAGUCCAGUCAUCCGAACCAGUAGGGUGCCAUUUCCAGUGCUACCAGUGGGCAACACCCAAAUAGACUCUAUGCUCUUUAGUCUCGGCAGGAUCAGGAAAAUUCUCCUGAUGUUGUUACUGGUACGUUACAGAUUUUCCAUGUUCAUGUUUAUUCUUUGCUAGACCCAGGUGCAUCUUUGUCUUUUGUUACUCCAUACAAAGCAGGCAAUUUUGGAAUCAGUCCUGAAGUCUUAGCAGAGCCCUUCUCAGUCUCUACCCCAGUGGGUAAAACCAUCAUAGCUCGGCGAUAUACAGGAACUACCCAAUUAUGAUAUCUUAGAAAUCCAUAUCAGUAGAUUUAGUGGAGUUAGAGAUGGCUGUUUUUAAUGUCAUUCUUGGCAUGGAUUGACUUCAUUCCUACUAUGCCACAGUCGACUGCAAAAAUAGGAUAGUUUAGUUUCAGUUCUUGAAUGAGCCCAUCCUAGAGUAGAAGGGUAGCAUUUCAGCGUUCAGGGGUCAACUUAUUUCCUACUUUUGGGAAAGGAAAAUGAUUUCUAAGGGGUGUGUGUAUCAUCUCAUGCAUGUUAAAGAUUUUAGUUCUGAAUAUCCCAGCCUCAAAACUGUCCCUGUUGUUAAUGAAUACUCAGAUGUCUUUCUCAAAGAUCUUCCAGGCAUUCCUCCCGAAAGGGAAAUAGACUUUGGCAUAGACCUUCUUCCAGAUACUCAACCUAUUUCUAUUUCGCCAUACAGAAUGGCACCAGUAGAACUCAAGGAACUGAAAGAUUAAGGGAUUCAUUAGACCUAGUAUUUCCCCAUGGGGUGCGCCAGUAGUAUUCGUGCGCAAGAAAGAUGGUUCUCUCGGGAUGUGUAUUGAUUACCGUCAACUCAACAAGGUCACGGUCAAGAAUAAAUAUCCUCUUCCCAGGAUUGAUGAUCUAUUCGACCAACUUCAUGGUGCCAGUUACUUCUCCAAGAUAGACCUCAGAUCAGGCUAUCAUCAGCUCAGAGUUAGAGAAUGUGACAUUUCAAAGACAGCUUUCGAUACUCGGUAUGGUCACUUUGAAUAUUUAGUCAUGUCAUUUGGUCUUACCAAUGUCCCUGCAGCUUUUAUGGAUUUGAUGAACCGUUUGUUCAAGUAGUACUUGGACAUGUUUGUCAUAGUCUUCAUAGAUGAUAUUCUGGUCUAUUCUCGCACAGAGCGUGAUCAUGCAGACCAUUUCAGGAUUGUUCUUCAGACCCUUAGGGAUCAUGAAUUAUUUACUAAGUUCAGAAAGUGUGAAUUUUGGCUAAGAUCAGUAGCAUUCCUUGGUCAUAUUGUUUCCGAUGAUGGAAUUAGAGUAGAUCCUCAGAAAACUAAGGCAGUAAGAAAUUGGCCCAGACCCGUAUCUCCAUAAGAUAUUAGGAGUUUCUUGGGUUUAGCUGGUUAUUACAGAUGGUUUGUCUAGGGAUUUUCUUCUAUUGCAUCUCCCAUAUCCAGAUUGACUCAGAAGAAGAUUAAGUUUCAGUGGUUAGAUUCAUGCGACAAGAGCUUUCAAGAGUUGAAGACUCGACUCACCUCCGCUUCAGUUCUAGCUAUUCCAGAUGGUUCAGACGGUUUUGUGGUCUAUUAUGAUGCAUCCAAAGUGGGUUUAGGUUGUGUCCUCAUGCAGCAUGGUAAGGUCAUAGCCUACGUCUCCAGACAGUUAAAGCCACAUGAGAAGAAUUAUCCUACUCAUGAUCUUGAGUUAGCAACGGUAGUAUUUGCCUUGAAGAUUUGGAGGCAUUAUCUCUAUGGAGUUCAUGUAGAUGUCUUCACAGACCAUAAAAGCCUCCAGUAUGUCUUUUCUCAGAAAGAUCUCAAUCUUUACCAGAGAAGGUGGUUAGAGCUCUUGAAGGAUUACGACAUGAGUGUUCUUUAUCAUCCGGGCAAGGACAAUAUUGUGGCCGACGCUCUCAGUCAACUUUCCAUGGGCAUUAUUUCUCACAUUGAGGAUAGUAAGAAAAAGAUGGCUCAGGAGAUCCAUCAGCUUGCCAGAAUAGGCGUUCGCUUAGUCGAUUCUUCAGAGGGUGGUGUAUGCAUUCAUAGUAGUUCAGAGCUAUCUCUAGUUUCUGAGGUGAAAGAGAAACAAGACAGGGAUCCUAGCCUUGUCAAGCUCAAAGAGUCAUUUUAGAAUUAGGAAGUUGAGGUUUUCUCCUAAGGGGAAGAUGGUAUUUUUCGUUGUCAGGCUCGUCUAUGUGUUCCAGGUGUAGAUGAAUUGAGGCAGUGAAUUCUUGUAGAAGCGCAUGGUGUGCGAUACUCUAUUCAUCCAGGGGCCACUAAGAUGUACCGCGACAUGCAGGAGAUCUAUUGGUAUAGUGGGAUGAAGAGAGAUAUUGCAGAGUUUAUGGCUAAGUGCUCUACAUAUCAGCAGGUUAAGAUAGAGCAUCAGAAACCUAGUGGUUCCAUGCAAGAGUUUACCAUUACUACUUGGUAAGGGGAAGAAGUUAACAUGGACUUUGUGAAAGGUUUGCCUAGAACUCGUCAUCAACAUGAUUUAGUUUGGGUUGUUAUAGAUAGAAUGACUAAGUCAGCUCAUUUCCUUCCUGUUCGUACUUCUUAUUCCACCAAAGAUUAUGCCAAACUCUAUAUCAGGGAGUUAGUCAGAUUACACGGUGUUCCACUAUCUAUUAUCUCAAACAGAGGUACCCAGUUCACUUCUCACUUUUGGAAAGCAUUCCAAAAGGGUCUUGGUACCCAAGUCCAUCUCAGUACAGCAUUUCAUCCUCAGACAGAUGGUCAAGCAGAGAGGACCAUUUAGACUCUUGAAGAUAUGCUAAGGGCAUGUGUAAUUGACUUUAAGGGAUGUUGGGACGACCACUUGCCUUUGAUUGAGUUUGCUUACAACAAUAGCUAUCAAUCUAGUAUUUAGAUGGCUUCAUUUGAAGCUCUCUAUGGUAGGAUAUGUAGAUCUCUGAUUGGUUGGUUCAAAGUUAGUGAGGCCUCAGUCAUAGGUCCUGACUUAGUAUUCGACGCCUUAGAGAAUGUUUAGUUGAUCAGAGAGAGACUUCGGGCUGCUCAGAGCUGACAGAAGUCCUAUGCAGAUGUUCAUAGAAAGGAUCUCGAGUUUGAGGUCAAUGACUAUGUCUAUCUUAAGAUCUAUCCAAUAAAGAGAGUGAAGAGGUUCAGCAAAAAAGGGAAACUCAGUCCCCGGUAUGUUGGUCCUUUCAGAAUUCUUUAUCGUUUUGGUAAGAUAGCUUAUGAGCUUGAGUUGCCUUUAGAUCUAGCCUCAGUCCAUCUAGUCUUCCAUGUCUCUUUGCUAAGAAAGUGCAUAGGUGACCCAGCAGUUGUUGUCCCUAUUUAGGGCAUCGACAUUCAGAGCAGCCUCUCCUAUGAAGAGAUUCCAGUCGAAAUCAUAGAUUAUCUGACUCGUAGAUUGAGGAACAAAGAAGUCCCUCUAGUCAAGGUUCUUUGGCGGAAUCAGUCUCAUGAGGGAGCUACUUGGGAAGCAGAAGCAGAUAUGCAUACCAAGUAACCUCACCUCUUCCCCGCCAAUUCAAAUCAAGCUCAAGGUAACAGUUCUUCUUACUCUUAUUCAGUUCACGUUCAUGAUUCCAGUAUAAACUUGGUACCUAUUAACCAUUUUAUACUCAGUCAUGCAUUCAUGUGUCAGUUGCCCGUGCAUCAGAUAUGCACGAGUUUAGUAUGUUUAGCAUGUCAGUCAUGAGAUCAAGUUUCAGUUCUUCAUGUUCAGUUUAGGUUUUAUUGUCUUGUGUCCCUUCUCAGUAAAUUCUUAUUCGAGGACGAAUGUUCCCAAGGGGGAGAUAUUGUAAUACCCCGCAUAUUUUUAAGCUAGGAAGUGAAUAAGUAUUCCAACGUAUGAAAUCUCCUAUCUUGUGAUUCAUACAUGAGUACAUGACUUACCAUGAAUAUCCUACUGAUAGGAUAGUUUAUGAUGCAUUAAGCAUGUUCAUAUGAGUCACUUAAGGUAAUACAAGUUAAGAGUUUUUGAAUCCAUUAAGUUUUAGUGUUCGAUUUUGCAAGGAUCAUCUUUGAAUGAGUAUAACUCAAUGUUAAUGUGGUAUUUUGGCUAAUUUAGACACACCAAAUUGUAGAGAUUCGAAUUAGCUUUCGAACAAUACCAAUUUCACCUUAAUCUAAUACCCGAGUGAAAAGUUAUGCCCAUUUUCGUGAGAGACAGUAAGUAUAGGCGAUUGGUUAGGCGCUGCCCAACCUAAGCAUAGGCGAUCACUUGGGCGCUGCCUAAGUCAAUUUUAGGUGUCAAAAACACUCCGUUUUGAGUUAUUUUAAAGGUAAUUAAGUCUUUAAAUACUCCUUACACGUCCCUAAACUUAACCCUACGAAAUAUAUAGCUUAUAAACAUAUUACAACCCUAUUUUCAUCUCAAAACUCAUCAUCCAAGAGCACUAAAGGAGAAAAACAACUAGGGUUGCAUAAUUAAGCUUGAAGAUCCAAUUUCAAGGAAAUUCCUCCGUCAAUCAUCAAGAAUUUUCUUUCUAAGGUAUGCAUAGUGUUCAUCCACAGAUUCCUUUCAUCCGUGGAGUUCAAGAAUCAAUCUUUAAAAUACAAAAGCUUGGUUGAUUGUGUGAUAUGAUCAUACCCAUGUUGAUGCUUUUUUGUUUUUCUAUAUAAUGGUAUGCGUGAGUUGAUUUAUGGAUCCUUUCAUUCAUAAAGCUCAAAAACCCUUUUUUCAUCUUAAAGUAUCAUUUCUAUAUUGUUGGGUGUUGAUAAUCAUGUUAUUGAUAUUGGGUGAUUCCCAAGAUGGAAUAUUUAUAUGUUUUUAUGAAUUCAUGAUAUCAUAUGAGUUGGAAACAUGCAAAUUUAGUUGUUAAUGAUGUAUGAAUUUGAUGAUUUCACCUAUGCUUAAGAAGUGCAUGUAAGGUGUUUGAUAAAAUACCUAAGAAACUAGAAAUCAUGCAAUGUAGCUAAAUUGUGACUAAGUGAAGGAUUCAUGAUAUGCCCUUACGUUCCAAUGACUUCUAUGUUGAUAAUGUGCCUUGUAAUAUUGUUGGAAUACUCAUGAACUAUUCUUAUGAGAUUAUGCUAUGUGUACUUGCAAAUCCUACUUAUAAACAAUAUGUAUAAUAAACAUGCAAUCCACAUGAACUUCCAUGCUAUUGGUAUGUGUUGCUACUAUGAUUAUGUAAUGAACAUGAUAUUAAGAUUGUGCAAGUACUUCCAUGUGAUAUGAAAUACUUUCCAUGCAAUACAUUGUUGAUAACCAUGCAUAGUAUGAGAUCACUACUUAUGAUAUUAUAAAUUAUGGACUCUUAUGAUCAAGUCAGUCAUGUGUGUCAGUUUCCUUCAAUCGAGUCCUGGGGGUACUUAUACUCAAAAACUAUAGCGUGUGCCUAGAUCCAUGUCAUGUUUCACGAUAUCCAAACUCAAGCUAUGAUUCCAUAGACUUCAGUCAGUCGUAUGACUUAGGAAAACCUCAUGAUCUUAGUUAGUUGUCAGAUAUCAGUAACAUUCCGCCAGUCAACGGAAUUCAGUAAGAUUAAGUCAUGCAUAGUCAGUUAUUCAUGUUCAGCUCCUCCAGAUGGGAGUAGAGGUUAGCACCGAGUGAACCUAAGGAAGGGAACUCACCCGCCAAUUCAGGGUGUGAUUCUUAGUAGUCAUCCUUGUGUUCCUGAACUACGUAGCCAUCGUAGGUUGAGACAUUUUAACCCGUUAGAUUAGGGUUGAUAAGGUGGAUUAACCCGUCAGUUUAGGGUUCCCACCAUUCUCAUUGAGUACCCGCCAGAUAAUGGUCACUCACAGGCUGUCCUUACCCGUGGCACGGUAUUGACACCCCUUCAGUCGGGGUAGAGAUUGGACCCCAGCUUAGCCAUAACGGCAUACAUGGGGCAUGUUGGUUAGACAUUACUUCCCACAAUUUUAGUAUCUGUCUUAGUAAAAGAACUCAGGGCGUUCUUCAAAUUUUAGUAUAUAUAGGAUUGUCAGAUACAGUCGUCCAUGUUAUCAGUUUUAGUAUCAGUCUCAGUAAAAGAACUCAGGGUGUUCCUUAGAUUUUAGUAUAUGCAAGACUGUCAGAUAUAGUUGACCAUGUUAUCAGCUUCAGUAUCAGUCAUGACAGUUAUCAGUAAACCAUGUAUUAGCUUACAGGUCAUGCUAUCACGUAUCCACGGUCCUAGUUUGUGUAUAUGUGUGUUUGCACUCCCACGUUCAUAUCAGUCAGUCAGUGUUGUUCAUGCAUGAAACCCUUUAUGUUCAGCCUACCUUCCUCGUAUACUCAAUACUCCAGUUUACUGACUCAUUUGCGCUAUGGUGCUUUCUUUUCAUAUUACACCAUAGGUUCUGAGACACGAGCUCCAGCCCAGCAGUAGCGGUAGCAUUCCAGUCGCAGAGACACAAUGAGUCCUCAUUGAUUCGAGGACAAUAUGAUUUGAUUUAUUUAUUUAUUUCUCCAGUUCAGUUUUACGGAUUUAGUUGGAGACAUGUUCCUUCAACUCCUUAUUCAGACAAUUUAGAGGCUUUCAGAUUUACGUUCAGAUUUAUGUUCAGAUUUACGUUCAGAUUUAGUUGUUUUGGGUAUUUUUCACCCGCAUGAUUGUAUUCAGUUGAACCUUAUGGCCUUACAUUUCUAUGUGAUCUGUAUUAUUAUAUCAUGAUUUGCAGUAUAUAGGUAUAGAUAUCAGUCAGGGGUUAUCUUGUAGUCCCUCGGGGUCAUGAGCACCGUGUAGCAUUUCGGUUCAGCCACUUGGGGUGUUACAUUAAAAUAUUUGACCAACUGCUGUUCAGGCCAACCUAGUAGCCAAUAUUGCCAUAGCUAGGAUUUGGGACUUCACUCGAAUGAAUCCUUCUCUACUUUUGGGAUCCAAGUCUAAAAGGGAUCCAUAAAAAUUCCUUAACAUGGUUCAGAAGGUAACAAACUUAUGGGGGGUGACUUCCAGUGAGAGUGCUGAAUUGGCUGCUUACCAGCUGCAUAAUGUAGCCCAUACUUGGUAUAAGCAUUAAAAGGGGGAUAGAGGCGCAAAUAUAGGGCCUAUAGAAUGGGAGGAGUUUUCUAUUAUCUUUUUAGAUAUAUUAUUUCCUUUGGAGUUGAGGGAAUCUAAGGUGAUGGAUUUCAUUAAUUUGAAGCGAGAAAAUAUGAGCGUGAAGGAGUAUUCACUUAAGUGUACUCAGCUAGCCAGGUAUGUUCCUCAUAUGGUGGCUGAUAGCAUGUCUAGGAUAAGAUAGUUCGUGUUUGGAGUAUAUGAUAGUGUGGUCAAGGAGUGUAAGACUGCAAUUUUGAUAAAGGAGAUAGACCAAUAUAGGUUGAUGCUCCAUGCUCAACUAAUUAAGGAAGAGAAGGUUAGGGAGAAAGAGAAAGAGAACAAGAGGGCUAGGAUAGGUAGUUUUAACUUUGCUCAGCCAAGGUCAGAGGGUGGUAACUAUCCCUAAUUCCAUCAGAAAUCAUCAACUCUGGCUUUAUCUUCAGCUAGUGCUCUUAUGCCAAAGUCCAAAAAUGACAAUUGGGAUAGGGCACCAGGCUCUAAGUCCUAAGGUAGUGUAAACAGUGGUCGCACGAAUGCUCUUUGUCAAAAAUAUGGUAGGAAUCAUCAAGGAGAGUGUAGAGCAGGAUAUGAUGUAUAUUUUGGGUAUGGUAAGCUAGGCCAUAGGAUUUGAGAUUUUUGAGUGGUUGCUCAGAAGGGAAGAGAUGUGCACCUAUUUGGCCAGUCUCAUCAGUCAUCGACUUCAGCCUAUCGCUUGACUCAGCAGGGCACCGCUUCCAGUGCUACUAGCGGUCAGCAUCAGAACAGGCUUUAUGUACUUCAGUCUCGACAGGAUUAAGAAAAUUCUCCUAACGUGGUUACUGGUACGUUGCAAGUUUUUCAUUUAUAUGUUUAUGCUUAUGCUAGAUCCCGAAGCUUUCUUUUAUUUUGUAACCCUUUAUAUAGCGGUCAACUUUGGAAUCAAUCCCAAAACCUUAACGGAUCCGUUUUUAGUAUCUACCUAGUGAGUAAGUCUAUCGUAUUCCGAUAGGUAUACAGGAACUGCCCGGUUAUAGUGUCUCAGAAAGUUACUUUAGUAGACAUCAUAGAGUUAGAGAUGACUAAUUUGACGUCAUUCUCGGCAUGGAUUGGAUCCAUUCAUGCUAUUCUUCAGUGGAUUACAGAAACAAAGUUGUUCAUUUUCAGUUUCCAGAUGAACUAGUCCUUAAAUAGAGGGGUAGUACUAUAGUGCUUAGGGGUCAACUUGUUUCGUACCUUAGAGCAAGGAAAAUGAUAGCCAAAGGGUGUAUUUACCAUCUUGUUUGAGUUAAAGACUCUAAUUCUGAGACCCCUAGUCUUAAGUUGAUUUCAUUAGUAAGGGAAUUUGUAUAUGUGUUCCUUGAAGACCUUCCCGGAGUUCCUCCCAAAAGGGAAACUGACUUUGGAAUAGACCUUUUUCUAUAUACCCAGCCUAUCUCUAUUUUGCAAUACAAAAUAGCUCCAGCCGAACUUAAAGAGUUGAAAAAAAGUUGAAAGAUCUCUUAGAUGAGGGAUUCAUUAGGCCCAGUUAUUUCCUGUGGAGCGCACUAGUUUUGGUCAUGUAUAAGAAAGAAGGUUCUCUUAGAAUGUGUAUCGAUUAUCGUCAGUUUAACAAAGUCACAAUCAAGAAUAAAUACCCACUUCACAAAAUUGAUGGUUUGUUCGACUAACUUCAGGGUGUCAAUUAUUUCUCCAAUAUAAACCUCAGAUCCGACAAUCAUUAUCUUAGAGUCAGAUAAUGUGACAUUUCAAAAAUACCUUUCAGAACCCGGUAUGGUCACUUUGAGUUUCCAGUCAUGUCCUUUAGUGUCACAAAUGCCCCAACAACCUUUAGGGAAUCGAUGAACUGAGUGUUCAAGUAGUACCUGUACAUGUUUCUCAUAGUCUUCAUUGAUGACAUUCUUUUCUACUCCCGUAAUGAAAAUAAUUAUGCAGACCACCUCAGAAUAGUAUUACAGACUCUUAGAGUUCGUUAAUUGUUCACCAAAUUUAGUAAGUGCAAAUUUCAGCUAAGAUCGGUAGCUUUCCUUAGCCAACCCUUAAAAUACAGAAGCAGUGGAAAACUAGCCCAGACCUAUUUCUCCAUCUGAUAUUAGGAGUUACUUAGGUUUGGCUAGCUAUUACCGAUGCUUUGUUGAAGAGUUUUUGUCUAUUGUGUCCUUUAUUUCCAGAUUGUCCCAGAAGAAAGUCAAGUUUUAGUGGUCAGAUUCUUGUGAGAAGAGUUUUUUGGAGUUGAAGACUUGACUUAACCUAGCCCUAGUCUUGAUAUUGCCCGAUGGGUUAGAUGGGUUUUUUGUUUACUGUGAUGCUUCCAGAGUUAGUUUGGGUUGUAUUUUGAUGAAGAGGGGAAAGGUCAUAGCCCAUACCUCUAGAUAGCUUAAGCCCUAAAAAAAAUUACCUUACCUAUGAUAUUGAACUAGUAGCUGUUGGUUUGCCUUAAAGAUUUGAAGGCACUAUUUGUAUGGGGUGCAUAUUGAUGUGUUCACGGAUCACAAAAGCUUACAGUAUAUGUUUUCAUAUAAAAAUUUAAAUCUCCAUCAGAGAAGAUGGUUAGAGUUGUUGAAAUACUAUGAUAUGAUAUAAGUUUUUUCUACCACCCGAUCUAGUCCAAUGUUGUCGCAGAUGCCCUAAGUAGAUUGUCUAUGGAUAGUGCUAUUCAUGUUUAGAAGGAUAAGAAAAAGCUAGUUAGGGAAGUUCAUCAUCUUGCUAGAUUAGGUGUCCACUUGUUUAAUUCAGCUGAGGGUAAUGUUUGGUUGUAGAAUGGUUCGAAAUCUUCUUUGAUUGUCGAAGUGAAAGAAAAGCAAGAUAGGGAUCCUAAUCUAGUUAAGUUGAAGGAUCCAGUCAGAGAUCAAGAAGUAAAGGUUUUCUCCCAAGGGGGAGAUGUUGUGUUGUGUUUCCAGGGUAGGCUGUGUAUGCCAUGUGUACAUGAGUUGAGACAACAGAUUCCUGUAGAAGCACAUGCUGUGCGUUACUCUAUUCACCCAGGGGACCACUAAGAUGUAUCUCGAUCUAUAGGAAAUCUAUUGGUGGAGUGGUAUGAAGAAGGAUACUGCAGAGUUUGUAGCUAAGUGCUCUACUUGUCAGAAGGUUAAGGUUGAGUACCAAAAGCCUAGUGGGUAUAUGCAAGAGUUCAAUAUUCCCACUUGGAAGUGGGAUGAAGUGAACAUGGACUUUGUGAUGGGUGUGCCCUGUACUCGUCGUCAACAUGAUUUGAUUUGGGUUAUUGUGGUAGGAUAACUAAAUCAUCCCAUUAGCCCAUACUUCUUAUUUAGUUGAGGAUUAUGCUAAGCUCUACCUUAUAGAGUUGGUUAGGUUGCAUGGAGUCCCGUUGUCCAUCAUUUCAGAUAGAGGUACUCAGUUUACCUAUUAUUUUUGGAAGUCUUUCCAGAAGAUUCUUGGUGCCCAAGUUUUUCUUAGUACAACCUUUCAUCCUCAUGCAGAUGGUCAGGCAGAGAGGACCAUUCAGACCUUGGAGGACAUGUUGAGGGCUUCUGUUAUCAACUUUAAGGGCAGUUGGGAUGAUCACUUGCCAUUGAUUGAGUUUGCCUAUAAUAAUAGUUAUCACUCCAGUGUUCAGAUGACUCAAUUUGAAGCUCUAUAUAUGAGAAGAUGUAGAUCUCCAAUUAGUUAGUUUGAGGUAGGUAAGACUACUUUAAUAGGGCCUGAGUUAGUACAUAAUGCAUUGGAGAAAGUUCAGUUGAUCAAAGAGAGGCUUAAGACAGUGCAAAGUCGACAGAAAUCUUUUGCAGAUGUGAGGAGAAAAGAUCUCGAGUUUGAGAUUAGGGAUUUUAUGUAUCUGAAGAUAUCUCCCAUGAAGAGGGUAAAGAGGUUUGGCAAUAAAGGGAAACUCAGUCCCCAAUAUGUUGGCCCUUACAAGUUUUUGAGUCACUAUGGUAAAGUAGCUUAUGAUCUUGAGUUUCCUACAAAUUUGGCAUUAGUGCACCCAGUGUUUCAUGUUUCCUUGUUAAAGAAAUGUGUUGGUUACCCAGUUGUAGUUGUUCCUUUAGAAAGAGUAGAUGUUCAGCAAAAUCUUUCCUACAAGGAAAUUCCAAUCGAGAUCCUUGAUCGCCAGAUUUGGGGACUAAGGAACAAAGAAAUUCUCUUGGUCAAAUUUCUUUGGCAGAACCAGUCUAUUGAGAUUGCCACUUGGGAAACAGAAGCAGAUAUGUGAACCAAGCGUCCUCAUCUUUUCUCUACAAACUUAGACUCAGUUUAAGGUAAGAUCUUUUCCUAGAUUUUCAAUUUCGUACUUAUUCCCAACUCAUAUCAUUCUCAUGUUACUCUUGUAUUCACGAAGUCAUUUAAGUCAUAUAAUCAUGCCUUCAACACAUAUAUUCAGGAUGUAACCUUAAUUCCUUAGUGUUCUCAGCUUAACUAGCCUCAUUCGAGCAUGUAUGUUCCCAAGGGGGAGAUAUUAUAAAACCCCAUAAGAUCCUAAGCUCAAUUCAGUUUACUCUUGCAUGUAAAAAGGGGCCCAGGACUUAGAAUAUUUUAUUAAGUGUUAGGAAUUAGUCAAUUCUAAAGCCUUCAAACUUUGAUGAAUUUAUUUUCGACCUUCUCAGCAUCGAAAAUAAGUUUUUAAAGUUGAUUCAUGAUUGGGGAAAUCAAUAGUACAUCUGGGGAGAAUUUCAAAAUUUUUGGACAAGCGUAAGUGCAAGUUUGGACUACCAAAACAACAACGGAGGGUGAUUAUCCUAUGAUGCUCUGCCUAUUCUGGUGCUAGGGGAGCCCUCCAUAGAGCCGGUGGCGCUCCGGAGCUUGCAGCGCCCUGCCCAGUCUGAUCCAUACAUUUUCUUCAAUUUUGUUCUGCAGUUUAAGGGAAAGUAAGUAAUUUUCCCUUCACCCAAUAGGUCCAUAACACGGUAUUAAAGACCUAAAUAGAAUUUUUGGACAUCUAUUACUCAAUUCUCUCGUAAUCAAAAGCAUGCCCUCGCAAGAACAAACCCUAGCCCUUCAAGCUUCGAGUUCAAUUCUGAAGAAAUCCCUCAAUAACUUCCAAGAAUUCAUCAAUUGAGGUAUGUUAAAUGUUCAUCCAUGCGUCCUUUCCACCCAUGGAGUUCAAGAACCCAAUUUCAAAUGCAAAGUUGUGUUUUUUACAAGUUAUUGUGAUUUUAACCAUGAAUCGCCAUGAAUUUUUAUUCUAUAUCAUGUUUACAUGUAGUUGUUGUUAUUAUUAAUCCCCACAUGUUUGAAUGAUAUUGUUUGCUAAAUUAAACCUUAAUUCAUUAUUUUAAAAGAGAAAUCAUGCUAUUACUAUGAGUUUUAAACUAUUCCUAUGCUUAACUUAAACCAUGAAUAACAAGUGUUUAACGAAAUGCCCACAAGAAGGAGUUUCGAAUAAAUGCUUACAUAUCAUGUCCUCAAAGUUUUAGUACAAUCAUGCUAUUAUUGUUAUCAAGUCCUGGGGUUUUGAAUACUCAAAAUUUAGCUGAUUUCCUAGUUUUCAAUAUUUAUAGAAUGGUUACGGAUUAGUUAUGAGCCCUAUCAUUUCAGUUAGCAUUUUAAAUAGUUAAGCAUAGUCAGUCCAAUAUUCCAUGUCUUUCUGUUGGGAGUAGGAUUUAGCACCAAGCUAAUAUAGGGAUGACGGCUUCCCCAUCAGUUAGGCAGAGUCAUUAGUAGCAGUCCUUACAUUCAAGAACUAUGUAGCCAGUGUAGGAUAUGAUGAGUCAUCUAUCAGUUUAGGCUUGACUCUGACCAGUGUCACCCGUCAAUCUAGGCUUGACAUCCUGGAUGUUUAGUAUCUUAGUGGAUCCAUGCAGCCAUGUUUUAGUACUCGUGGCAUGGUACUGACACCCUUCCAACUGAGGUUACAGAUAGGACCCCAAUUAACUCAUUGGGGCAUGUCGGUUAGACGAUAGCUUUCACAAUCUCAGUCUAGUAUUCAGCUCAGUAAUUAGUUUUAGUUUUGCUGACCAUAGCAUACAGAUAUCAGUUAUCUAUUUAUCAAUAUUCUAUAUUUCAGUUUACAGAUUAUAUUCAAAACAUGUGUUAUGCUUGGUCAUCCAUUCACAGUCUUUACAAAUUUCAUGCAUUAUAUUCAAUACUUCAUGCUAUUCAUUCAGCCAGUUAUUACUAAUGCAUAUGAAACCAUGCCUAUUAGCCUAACCUCAUUUAUAAUACCAGUACAUUCAAAGUACUGACUGCAUACUCUCUUUUUUCACUAUGAUGUUUCAUAUCAUAGGUUCGAACGCUUAGGUUCCAGACCCCACCUAGAUAUCCCAGCAUACCUACAGUAGUAGCAGUGGUGAGUCCUCAUGUUCUGAGGACUGUUAUGUUUAUUUCAAUAUAUUUAGUUUAGUAGUCAGUUGGAGUUAGUUGGGGACUUGUCCCAUCAACUCCAUAGUCAGACAGUUUAAGGCUUUCUGACUAGUCCAGAAAGUUAGUCAAUUUUCAAUUAUCAUUAUCAACCAUUUUACUAGUAUUACCAGUGUUGUUUUGUAGAUAUUAUCAGAACUAUGAUUUAAAAACUUAUGGUAUUUUUUAGUUAUAUUCCAAAAAUACUUAGUUGUUAUCUGUUUUAUUCAGUGCUCACAGCAGGUACCAGUAUCAUGGGUUAAUUUGUAGUCACUUGUGACCAUAAGAACCGUGUAGCACCCAGGGUGUACUCUCGGGGUGUUAUACCUAUCCGACAUUUGAUUGAUGAAUGGAAUGGGAUAGUGAUUAUUCUUGGUAGCAUAAUUCAAUUUCAUAUAGUCUAUGUAGAUCCUCCAUCCAAUAACCAUACGGGUUGGAAUCAGCUCGUUAUCUUCAUUAUUCAAAAUGGCCAUCCCUCUUUUCUUUGGGACACAGUGCACUAGGAUGACCCAUUUGCCGUCAAAUAUGAGAUAGACUAUCCCAGCAUCAAGCUACUUUAUUACUUCCAUUCUGACCAUAUUUUUCUUCACCAGAUUUAGUCUUUCCUGAUGUUGCAUACUCGCUUUUGUAUCCCUCUUCCAUAUAUAUUUUGUGCAUACAGAAGGCUAGAUUGAUUCCCAUGAUGUAUGACAUCUUCUAUCCAAUUGCUUUAUUCUUUAUUUUCCACACCGUCAAUGCCUCUCUCACCUGUACAUCAAACAAACCUAUAGAUAAAAUCACAGGAAAAGUACCACCCUCACCAAGAAAAGCAUAUUUUAAAUGAGAAGGAAGAGCCUUGAGCUCUAGUUUUGGUGCUUUAUCAAUGGAUGCCUUAGGAGAUGGUCCAAUUGAUUUAUUCAAUGGCUCUAACUCAGUAACUCUAGUGUUAAUAAUUGCCAAAUUCAUAAUUUACACCAUUUUAGGUUCCUCAACAUUACCAUAAAAGUCAUACCCCAUCAAAGCUCACUCAAGCGGGUCAUUACACAAUAAAAAGUAGAGCUCAAACUCAAGGUCUACAAUUGUUAUAGUAGACAAUUCUUUAUAUAUAGUAGGCAACUUCAUUGCCUUAUACACAUCAAAGACAUCAAAUUUGUCAUGAGCUGUCAUGGUCUUCUUUCCUACAGCUACAUCAAUAAAAGGUUGCCCAGGUUUUAGAAAGAGAUGUCCCAAAAUAAAUGGAACGACCAAAUCAGCAUCAAAAUCAAGAAUAACAAAAUCUACUGGGAAAAUCAGUGAUCCCACUUGCACCAAUAUGUCUUCAAUGAUCCUAUCAGUCCUAGCAAGGGACCUAUCAGUUAACUGUAAAAUAAUGGUCAUAGGUUUUGGACUCCUAAUACCCAUUUUCUUGAACCAAAAUAUGGUCAUGGGAUUGAUGUUUUCCCAUAAAUCAUAUAACCCAUUGAUGCUUUCCCAUAAAUCACAUAACGUUCGAGCAUUGAUAGCUUUCCUGAUGGUGAUCUAUAAAGUGAAACUACCUAGAUCUUUCAGCUUCGAGGGCAAUUUGUUCUUAAUCUUGGAUGUGUACUCCUCAAUAAGUCCUACUGUAGCAUAUUCUAUUAAACGGUUCUUGUUUGCCACUAUGUCUUUCAAAUACUUUGCAUACUUCAAAAAAAUCUACAAAAUAUCAACACGAGGGAGAUUUACAUGAACCUACUUUAAAAGCUCUAAAAUCUUCUUGUAACUAGUCUCCUCUUAAUUCUUUCAAAGCUUUUUGGGGAAAGAUGGAGGUAGAUUUCUCUUCUCCACCUUGGUUUCAUUACUUGUAACUUUUGUUUCAACCACUUUCUCCUCAUUUUUUUUAGUAUUACCAUCAGCAGCCUUAGAAUUGACUUUCUCAAUUAUUAACUCUCUUAGCUGCAAACUACUCCUAGAAGUAACUGCAUUUUACCCAUUUUGGAUUUGCCUCAAUAUCACUAUGUAGACAUCCCUAAGGUCUAGUUUUUUUCACUUCUACAAUCAUGCCAUUUUGCAUCUCUAUAUUCUUUGUAAUAGAUUAUUGAUUCUUCAUAUCCACUACUAACUAUGCUUGAACAACUAUAACUUUUUUCAACAACUCUUCCAUAUUGCUUCUUUAAGUCGUGGCAAGAUUACGUUAAGCUUAUUGUUGUUGAUUUUGUUGUACUCUCCCCUUAUACUUAUUAUUGUUCUUUUCCUGAUUUCCACCAUAUGAGACAUUGGGAAGAUUUUUCUAGUUCGGAUUGAAAGUGUUACCAUAGUUUUGCUGCUAUUAAUGAUUAACAUUCCCCACAUAAUUAACAGAAUCUAGACUAAUCACAUAAGUAUUCACUGAAUGCUCACUGAUUCCAAAAAUCUCACACCAAGUAUUCACCUGUUGAAUAACAUUAGCCAUUUUUGUCAGCUGUGUAACCCCCAACUUCCUGCUACUGGAUUGAUUAGUUAUCUAAUUUUGUAGUACAGCAAGUUGGGAUGAUAAAGAAGUGAACUAAUCUACCUCCAACACACCUACAACCUUCUUAGGAGCACUCUUUAAGUUAUUAUGCUACUCAAGAUUCCCUUAUGAAAUUUGAUUUAGUAGUGCAUAAAUUCAUCUUAAGUCUUCUCAAGAGUUUGCCCACCUGCUGCUAAAUCCAAGAGUAUUAUGGUGUUGGUCUCAAGACCCUCUAUAAAAGUAUGAACCAGUACAUUAUUAGACUGAUGAUGGUGAGGGCAAUUUCUAAGCAUAUCCUUAAAUAUUUCCCAAGCUUGGUAAAGAUUUUCUCCUUCUUUCUGCUCAAAACUCAGAAUCUCCCUUCUCAAGCAUGUUAUCUUCCCUAAUGGAAAGAAUCUCAUAAGGAAUUUCCAACCUAAAUCAUCAUAGAAAGUGAUAGAGUUUGGUGGUUCAUCUAUAACCACUUCUUUGCUUCCUCAAUUAAAGAAAAAGGGAAGAGCAUCAUUCUAACAUAAUAAGUAGAUGCCCUAGUAGGAAUAUAGGUAUCAGUAAUUACCAAGAAAGUCUGUAUGUGUUGCUAUGGAUCUUCAUGUGAGAACCCUACAAACUACCCACUCGAACACAUCAGUUGUACCAUAUUUUGCUUCAAUUCAAAUGGACCACCCGCCUAUGGGUUGCUGAUACAAUUAGUAGCAUGGUUAGUAAGUUAUAUUUCCACAUCACAAGAAGGCCUGGCUUCUGCCUGAUCAAGAUCAACUGGAAUCACCAAAGUUAAAUCACGUGUAAUAUUUAGAUCAAUUGGAUCAAUGAGAUUAGGAUCUCUUUGCUCUGCCAUUUGAAUUUUUUGAAUUAGAUAGUGAGCUCUUAGCCUCUAAUGAAGUGCAUGUUCUUGUUUUGAAUAAGGCUCUACCAGCUCUUUAUCUCUUUCCAGUUUGAUACUUUGCUAAUCCUGCAAUAGUCAGCCACUAAGAUAGAGUCGUUAACACUUAAACUUACUAUCAAAAACCAAAAUUUUAGAAAAUUACUAAUUAUACUAGUCCCCGACAACAGCACCAAAAACUUAUUGUGUUUUAAGGCACAUGCAAGUGCACACAGUUGUAUUAGUAAUAAAGUGAUAAAGAUAGUCUGAUAUCGUACCCACGAGGACUAUGUAACUAGAAAUUCAACCAACUUUAGUUUUUGACAAGAUUGUAUUAAGUGUUUCAAAACAUCAAGAUGAUUGUGAAGUUUUAAGUAAAAAUAUAAGUAAUAAAGAUAUAACAAUAUGCGACAAUAGCAAUGUAAGCAGGGUUGUAAACACUACUAGUGAGAAUUAUAGGGUUUAGACACUUUUAGCAAUCUUAAAAAUCUCUAUUCUUCAUGUAGUUUAGUUGAUUAUCGGGUUAUUGAUUUUCAAGUUUUAGAGUAUGAUCAUGGUCUCCCAAUUCUCUAAUAUUCUACUUAACUGGACAUUGUAACUAUAUUAUUGAGUGGGGAUGAAAUAAUCAAUUUAGAUGCAAUAAGCUAUCGUCCUUCAAAUGAACUAAAAAAGGCUUCUAUGUAUAUCCCUAUCCUAGAUGCUACUUUAAAUACCUCAUUUUAUAAAAGAAUAAGAACCUUGCUCCUUAUUUCAUCAAAAUAGUAAGCACAAGAUAUUAAGAAUAACCCAUACAAUAAUUCAAUAAUAAAUAUGAUAAAGAAUAUCAAAGUGCAAUCAUAUCCACAACCUCAACCCAGAACAAGGGUGUUUAGCCAUUCAUUUUUGAAUUCAAUAUAAAAAAUAAAUAAUUAAACAUACCAAAAAGUAAUCUUGGAGUAAUGAAGUUCAAAGAACCCUAAGAGAAGUGUUUUUGCCUUAUUGUCCCUUUCCAAAGUAGUCCUAAUUAAGUUGAAGUGUUCUUUUAUAGUGCGACUUAAUUUACUUACAUUUGAUCUUUACCGUGAUACGGAGGUAGUUCUCUGCAAUAUCCUCUAUGACACAGGCUUAUCACAGAGGGCUACUAGAUUUUUCCAUUCAAGAGUUGCCCAACCCCAGGAUGCGGUGAUAAAAAUAUAGAUCUGGGUCCAUGAUAUAGUCUCAUCGUGAACCCUUACUGGAUUUUGUCAAUUUGAUCUUAUUCUUCCUUGCUUCAUUCUUCUCUUUCCAUACCAAAUCCUAGUAUCCUCCUUCUUAGCAAAUUACUCCUAAUGCUUCCAUUCAUUAUUAACUUCUCGUUUAUGCUUCUAGUUACCUCUAAUUUUAUCAUAAUUUAGCCCUGCAUCACUAAUUAUGUCCAUUAGAUAAGAAAUGCAAUUACAGAUAAAAAAUAAUACAAAUACAUAUUUUAUCAUUAAGAACAAGUCCUAUAUUGGGUGAAUAUUGGUGAUUGGACAUAUAAAUAUGCCCAAGAUCAGCUACAUACAUCAGGGCCCAUUCAAGGGGUUACAUUUAAUAAAUUCAGGGGGUUACAUUUGUUGCAUAUAACCUGUGGGUGGUUCUAGGAUAGUUAAGCUACACAUACCUAGGUUAAUGCUUUUAAAGCCAUACUAAACUCAGUUCCUUUUCCCAGUAUAGUUAUAUAUAUGCAUAUAUGGUAGUGAAUGCAUAUGGUUGGUUUAUUUGGUUUUCAUGGGUGUUAUUAUUUUAUCCUUAUCCUAAGUACUUACUAGCGUUCACCUGUUAACCUAUCUUCGGGAAGUUGUAUCCCCAUGCGAUAGAAGAACUGACCAUUCUACUCCUCUUGCUUAGUGCUUAAACUCGAGAUCAACUUAAUUGGAUUGAAAGGUGAACUUUCAUACUUUGAAAGGCUCCAUUUCAUUCCAUAGAUUUUUUUCAUACUUUGGUUAUUUCAUAGAUAUUGGUUUUGGCUAUGGUUGAGGGCAUAUCCCAACCAAAUAUUGUUUUGAUUUUAGUUAGAGGCUUUGUGAAAUAACUAUGGGUUGGAAUGAACAGUGUUAGUAGUGGUGUUAGCCUUAGUAUUGACAUUGGUAUUAGGUCUAAUACCAUUUAACAAAAUUUAUGAUUGUUCCAUCUUAUUAUGUUAUGUUAUGGACAUACUCUUGGUUAUUAUUUUGAUUGUUUCUUGGAUAUGGGUUUGUUCGACUUUCUUGGGUUGGUAUCGGUCAUGGACUAAUCCCAGAGUCUAUACUUGUAAUAAAUUCUAUCUUGGUAUAUGUUGAGAAUUCAGUUAACUCAAGGUACGUGUUUGGAGGUUGGGUUAGGAAAUAAGGGUGUUCCCCGAUCCUGGUUGGACUUGGGAUGCCCAUUACAAUAAGUCCCCAAUUUGGGUUAUAUCACUAUGAGGCCUUUAGGAAUAUUUCUUUUUCUUGUGUUUUGUUUUCAAGCUAUAAAUUCCAAGGUCCUGAAAUCUUCUCUUAUACUUGUUUAUUCUAUUUUUAGAGUAUGCCUCCCUAAUGAUAUGAAUCUCAAGGAAACUCCUCUGUCCUAUUUGAGGAUAAUGCUAAUGGGACACACUCUUCUUUUAGGAUCCAGACUAGGUCUAAGGGUACAGUUCCUGAUUGUUGUCCUAGAGUUCCACCGGUUCUCUCCAGUCCUGCUAGAGCCCCUUAGGCUGAUAUAAUGAAUGUCGAGUUUUGUUAGUCUAUCCAUAUGUUGGCGCAGUUAGUAGCGAGGUGCUUCUGUUACUCCAUCUUUUGAGGCCACAAGUGUUGGCUAAUUCAUGAGGUUGAAUCCUCCAACUUUAAUUAGUUUUAAGGUAGAGGAGAAUCCUUAAGCUUUUAUGAAUAAGAUGGAAAAGAUCUUCUGUGUUAUGCACGUCACUAAUGUUAAAGGAAUGGAGUUUUCCACCUACCAGCUAAAAGAUAUGGCGUACCAAUGGUAUGAGAUAUGGGAACAAUUAAGGGGUGAUGAUAUUAAGUCAUCCCUAUAGGAUGAUUUCUCUAAUGUUUUUCUGGACCUUUUCUUUCCUCAAAAGUAGAAGAAAGUGAAGGAAAAAGAGUUUGUUAAUUUGAAUUAGGGAAAGGUGUCAGUAAUGGAGUAUACCUUGAAGUUUCUCCAUUUAUCUCGGUAUGCUCUGAAGUUGGUUUCUAGCAUGAGGGAUAGAAUGAGGAAGUUUUCUUUUAGGUUAUCUUGACACUUGAUUUUGAAGAGUAAGAUCACGUUAUUGAAUAAGGAUAUAGACAUCUCCAGACUAGUUGUGUAUAUGCAGUAGGUCGAGGAAGAGAAGAAGAAGCAGGUUGACAUUGGGAAGAAGCAUUAUAAGAAAUUUAGAUUUUCUUAUCAAGGUGGUGGUCAAUAGCAGAGUGGAAGCGAUGGUAGAAAGUCAUCAAAAAAGAGAUGAGGUAAUUCUGGGUCACACUCGACUGCUAGUGUUUGUUACCUAAAGCCUUUAGGUGAUAGGCAUUUUCAGACUAACAAUAAUACAGUGCACAGGGUGCCCAAUCUCAGGCUAGUGAGGCCCAACCAUCCCCAUCAUAUCCUCCCGAUAGAUUUUAUUGUCGAUUGCAUCAGAGUUACUGUGAUGAAGAAAAGGAUAAGUUCUUCAAAUAUGGUCAGUCAAGGCAUAUAAUUAGAAAUUGUUCUAUUAGUAAGGUUGCUUCUGGGGUAAAUGAGGUUCUAAUUUCCUCUUCAUCAGCUCCGGCAGCAAAGGGUGCACUAUCUAGUACCGAUGUCGUGACUGGUAUAUGGAAAAGUUUUUCCUAUAAUAUAUACGAUUUACUUGAUUCGGUGUGCACUCUGUCUUAUGUGACCCCAUUUGUGGCUAUGUAUUUUCUUUUUGAUCCUGAGUAUAUUUUGGACCCUUUAUCUAUUUCUACCUCAGUGGGCGACUCUGUGGUGGCUAGAAUAGUCUAUAGGGGUUGUGUGGUAUCUGUGGAUGAUCGGGAGACUCUAGUGGUUCUAUUUUAAUUAGAUAUGGUUGAUUUUGAUGUCAUAUUAGGGAUGCUUUUAUUGCAUUUUUGCUAUUCUUCUCUAGAUGUAUGGGCCUGUAAAGUUGUCUUUAAAUUCCCUAAUGAGACGGUUAUUAAGUGGGAGGGUGAUUCUUUACCCCUUAAGGGAAGUUCAUAUCAUAUCUUAGAGUUUGAAGAUUAAUCUCCUAUGGGUGUCCCUAUUAUCUAGUCGGGGUUAAAUAUUCUAACUCAGAGGGUCCUUCUUUACAUUCCAUCCCGAUGGUGAAUAAAUUUUCUGAGGUGUUUCCUGAUGAACUUCCUGGUGUUCCUCCUGAUAGGGAGAUUGAUUUUGGAAUUGAUCUUGUUCCAGACACGCAUCCUAUUUCUAUUCCCUCAUACAAAAUGUCUUCGACUAAGUUAAAGGUACUUAAAGAGUAACUAAAGGAUCUGUUAGACAAAGGUUUCACGGUCCUAGUGUGUCUCUGUGGGGUGCACCAAUUUUAUUCCUGCUUAAGAAGGAUGGUUCUCUUCGGACGUGUAUUGAUUACGACAGUUGAAUAAGGUAAUGGUAAAUAAUAAGUACCCUUUUCAAAGAAUAGAUGAUUUAUUUGAUCAACUAUAGGGUGCUAAGAUUUAUCUUUGAUCUAGGUAUCAUCAACUAUAGAUUAGGCAGGUAGAUAUCCCUAACACUGCCUUCUGUACCUGGUAGGCAUUUUUGAUUUCCUGGUUAUGUCUUUUGGGUUGACUAAUGCCCCGACAACAUUCACAGAUUUGAUAAAUAGAAUCUUUCAUCAGUUUCUGGAUUUGUUCGUCAUUAUGCUCAUUUACAAUAUUCUGGUGUACUAUAAGAGCGAGGUGGAUUAUGCUGAACACCUAUGCCUUGUGUUGCAGACCCUGAAAGAUCAACGGUUGUAUGCCCAAUUUUUGAAAUAUGAGUUCUGGUUGAAUGCUUUCACAUUUCUAGGUCAUGUUAUUUCUAGUGAAGGAGUUAUAGUAGAUCUGUAGAAAGUUCUUAUGGUUAAAAAGUAGCCUAGACCCAUUACUCCAAUUAAUAUUCGGAGCUUCUUGGGUUUAGUUGUCUAUUACAGAAGGCUUGUGGAAAGGUUUUCUUAUAUAAUUGCACCAUUGACUAAGUUGACUUAGAAAAGGUGAAGUUCUUGUGGUUUGAUGUGAGUGAGGGUUGUUUUGCAAAGCCGAAGGAUAAGAUGACUUCGUCUUCGGUCUUCAUCUUUCUUGAAGGAACUGAUGGAGUUGUGGUCUAUUCUGAUGCAUCCCAUGUGGGGCUAGGGUGCAUUUUCAUGUAGCAUGGCAAGGUGAUAGCUUAUUCCUCUAGACAGUUGAAGGUGCAUGAGAAGAACUAUCUGACUCAUGACUUGGAAUUUUCGACUGCUGUGGUAAUCACCUUCAAAUUAUGGUGUCACUAUCUAUGUGUCAUGCAUAUGGAUAUCUUUUCCGAUUAUAAGAUCCUGCAGUAUGUGUUUACUAAGAAAGAACUGAACCUCAGGCAAAAGAGAUGGCUUGAGCUACUCAAGGAUUAUGACAUGAGUCUUCUCUAUCAUCCAGGUAAGGCUAAUAUUGUUGUUGAUGCUCUAAGCAGGUUAUCCAUGAUGAGUCUAGCUAAUGUGGAUGAUGGGAAGCGAGAGUAGGUGAAGAAUAUUCACUGUUUGGCUAACCUUGGAGAUCAUUUCUUGGGCUUUGAGGAUAGUGGUGCGUUUGUGCAGAAGGUGGCGCAGUCGUCACUUGGUGCUGAAAUAAAGGAAAAGCAAGUGUUGGAUCCUGUAUUUAUGAGAAUCAAGGGUCAGAGCCGGCUCAAGGUCCAAGCAAACAAAGCGAUCGCUUUCAACCCCCAAAUAUUUUAGGCCCCAAAUUAAUUAUUAUAAGUUAGCCUUAUGUGUAUCUUUUUUUAAAAAAACAAAUAAAUGAAGUAACAAACAAAUAUUAGUGAAAUUUUAUUAUAAUAUCAAAAUCAAAUUUUAGAAUUUGUUCUACUAUUCUACUUAGUUUGUAUAAUCUUUAAUUCAAAGUUUUAUAUUUACAAGUCUCAAUUUAUGUGACAUAUUUUACUUAUUAUUCUACUUUAAAAAUAACAAUUAACAAUUUUUCAUUUAAAAGGCUAGAAAAUACACAUCAAAUAAUGUAUGCAUGAUUUUUAUAAAAAUAAAAAAGUUUAAAGCCUCGUAGUGAAUUUUGGCUUUAGACCACUAGAUAAGUUAAGUCGCUCCUAUCAAGGGUGAUGUAGGUGGGCAGAAGGUGGUGGACUUCAAGAUUAGUGGUGAUGGUACCUUGAGGAACCAAGGGAGGUUAUAUGUUCCCAACAUAUAUGGAUUGCAAGAGAGGAUUUUGGCUGAGGCACAUGAGUCGCGCUAUACUAUUCAUCCUGGUUCGACGAAGAUGUAUCAUGGCCUUAAGGAAAUGUAUUGGUUGAACAAUAUGAUGUGAGAUGUGGCUAGUUUUGGCUAAGUGCAUGCUGUGAUAACAAGUGAUAGUUGAGCAUAUGAGGGCCAGAGGAUUGCAUCAAGAAAUUAAUUUGCCCAUUUGGAAUUGGGAGUUGAUCAACAUGGAUUUUGUUAUCGUGGUCUCAGAAUUAUUUCAAUUUAAUUUGGGUUAUCGUGGAUAGGUUGACAAUGAAUUUUCACUUUUUACAAUGAGGAUCAAUUUUUUGGCUGAGUAUUAUGCAAGAUUGUAUCUCAAUGACAUAGUGAAGUUACAUAGGGUACCUGUUUCUAUCAUCUCGGAUCGUGGUACGCAGUUUUAAUGUCACUUUUGGCGGUUAUUUAAGAAAGGUUUGGGGACCAAGGUAAGUCUUAGUACUGAUUUUCACCCACAAUCGGAUGGUCAAUUAGAAAGAACUAUUCAUACAUUUAAAGAUAUGCUCUGUGGUUGCGUGAUUGACUACGGUGGUAGUUGGGUUGAGCAUUUGCCUCUUAUAGAGUUUGCAUAUAACAAUAGCUACCACUCUAACAUUGAGAUUGCUCCAUUUAAGGCAUUGUUGUUAGCCUACUAUAUUUAUAUUUUAUGUUUUAAUAAUGACAAACUAAUGAGUGAAUGUUGCAUGAUAUUGAAGAUCCCUAAUGAUAGAAGGAGAUCUCACAUAACGGACAUUGAAGAUCUCAAAUCAUGGGAGGAUAUCUCGCACAAGGCUAGGAAUAUUCUCUCAAAUAAUAUUAAUCUAAAUAAGGAGAAACAUAAAAGAUAUUGACGAUCACUAAGGAUGGAAAGAGAUCUCACACAAAGGACAUUGAAGAUCUCAAAUCAUGGGAGGAUAUCUCGCACAAGGCACGAAAUAUUCUCUUAAAGGAUAUCGUGCUAAACAUGGAGCCAUAUCAAAAGUAGGAUAUCGCUUGACAAGGCAACACAAAUCAUAUCAACUAAGGCUCCCAAUAGACAAGGCAAUUGGAUGCACCUCAUGACAAGAUCAAAGCAGAAGGAAGAUCUCACUACUUACAUGAACAUAUCUGAUAUGGACAUGUAUAGAUAUGAGAAAGAAAUAUCGCACCAAGUAUGGACAUAUCUGACAUGGACAUACCAUAAGGUGAAAACUCCCUCAAUUAAUGAAUAAACUCAAAUCCUUGAUUGACAAGAAAUCUCUAGGGUUUCCUUAUGAAGAAAAGAAGCAGAUACAAUAGAAAACUAUGAAGGUCAAAAUGGAAGAAAGAAGACACUACACUACUUCAAGGAGAAAAUUAAAAGUGUCUCAAUCUUAGUCUCACAAGGCUUUGUAACUUUUAGUUUACAACUGUUAUAUAAAGAGUAGGAUUGAUUCAAAUUUUUACAUCAACUAAAGAUGUGUCACAAGAUCUGGAGAGCAAAAUAAGUCUUCAAAACUUGUUUUCUAUCAUUGUACUCGAGCCCAACAUCAAACGAUCUAAGGAAACUUUGAAACCUAAGGGGACUAGAAGUAGGCACCACAUUGGUGUUUUGAACUAGGAUAAAUCUCUGUGCCUUUACUUUGUGUUUAACAAUUUAUUUUCUUAGUUGUGUUAAAUCUAAUUUGUUUUGUGAAGUGCGCUGAUCUGCAGGAAAGUCGACUGUGAGGAGUCAUUAGUCGACUCACAGAAAAAUUUCAAUUCACCCCCUUCUUAAAUUUCAAUUGGUAUCAGAGCAGGUCUCACCAACAGUGUUUCUUAACUUCAAGAGAUCAAAGAUCUAAUGGCAAGUAAUCAAAUUCCCGAUGCUCUUCUCCAGGAUGGUCACACCUGCAAAAGACCACCAUACUUUAAUGGAUAGCCUUACUCUUACUUGAAAAGUAGGUUUAGAAUUUUUUUCCAAUCAAAUGACUUAAUAGCUUGGGUUGUCAUCAAGAAGGGCCCAAAGUGAUUCCAGGGUUUAAAUAGAAGUCAAAGGACAAAGACAAAGAAUCUAGCAGUACUGACAUUGAAGACCUUGAAAGUUUUGAGGUCACCAAAGAAAAACAAGAGGUAAUCAAAACUAAUGCACAUGUUAUAAGUUUACUUCCUUGUGCAGUUAGUAGAGAAGAAUAGGCAAGAUAUUAAAUUAUGAGACUGCAAAGGAAACAUUGGACUAAUUCGAGGUAACCUAUAAGGGAACCACCAAAGUCAAAAAGUCAAAGAUUGCUGCCUUGUUGAUUAAUAAGAGAUGUUCAAAAUGGAAGAGAAUAAAAAAAUUGAAACAAUGUUUGCCAGAUUUAAUAAGAUCAUGUGCAAAUUAAAAUCAAUGGGGAUGAUCCAACCAUACAACCUGCAAAUCCAGAAGUUGGUCCGAAGUCUUUCAAAAAUUUGGAAAAUCAAGGCGGCCAUUCUUGAAGACGGAGAUAUUCACAACAUGACAUAUGAUUAACUACGAGGUAAUCUCAUUGCAUAUGAAAAAAAUUAUAUCAGUUGGUAUCGCAGAGAGGAAAAGAAAAGACAACAGACUUCAACACUGCUCCAAAUAAAGAAGAAGAUAUUUUGGAAGAUGCCAAUAGUGAAGAAAUGACCCUUAUCAAUCGUAGAGUAAGGCAGAUCAUGAGACGGAGAGAGAAAAGAUCCCAAGGAGCCAAAAAUAAUGACUCCACUAGAAAUAAUGAUUGCUGGUCUGGCCACUUUAAAUAAAACUGUCCAAAAUUGAGAAGAAUAAAUCAAAAAAAGAACUAAAAUUGUGGAGCCUAGAGUGAUGAAGAUGAAACUGAAGAAGAAAUAGAGGUCGCCAAUAUGUGCUUCAUGGCAACAACUGAAUCUAGAAAAGUAAGACUAUAUGAUUGUCACAACUGUAAUACUCUUGAAUCUAAUUUAGAUAUGAUAACUAACGAGCUUUAAAAUCUAAUAUAUGUGUAUAACAAACUUGGUCAAGAGAAGAAAAUUUGCGAAGCUCAAUUUAAAUAAGAAAUUGAAGAGGAACAAAGAAGUUAUCAAAUAGUAACCAAAGCAUGUCAAAUCAAAAUUGACUUAUUCAUGAAGAACUUGAUAAUGUAAAGAUAAAAUUUAACAGUAUUAAUAGAUCACCUAGUCACAGUUUCAUGAGAUCAAACUCUUUUAAAAAUAAUUCAAGUUCCUCAUCAGAAUUAAUUAAAUCAACCAAGACCACUUUCUUCCCAAGGACCUGUCUAUUUUAUAUUUGGAAAAAGAGGGAACAAAUCCUACAAUUGCAGGCACAAGCCUAAAAGUUUAUGGGUUUGGAAGCCCAAAGGAAGCACAUCUAACCCUCAAUGACCGAAGACCACUUAGGUACCUAAAUAGAAUUAAUUUUCUUAUUUUCCAGGAACAUGGUAACAAGAUCUAUAAGAAGGGAAUGUGGGUCAUUGUUUGUGGAUGUUCUAGACACAUGACUGGAAAAAAGAAAAAUUUUCAACUCUAAAGGAAAUAGUUGAGGGAUCAGUCAGAUUUGGUGACAAUGCUAGAGGCAACAUCAUCAGUGUCGGCUUAAUAAAACUCAGUUCAUCAUAAGAAUUCACUGAAGUAUAUCUAGUGGAUGUCCUUAAACAUAAUAUUCUUAGCAUCAAGUAUCUAUGUGAUGCUGGUUUCAGAGUCUUCUUUAAAUCCAAAAAUUGCUCAAUCAAACACGACAAAAGAAACAUCUCUCUCAUCGGUGAAUGCAUUGAUAAUAUUUAUGUCUUAAAUGGUCCUGAUUUUACUACCUUAACUUGCCUCACUGUGCAAACCAAUGAUGUUAGGUUGUGUCACAAAAAUCUUGGGCAUGCUAGCAUGCAUAUCAUUGAUAAAUUAUCUAGACUAGAAUUGGUAAAGGGUCUUGCAAAACUCAAGUUUGAAAAGGAUCUGCCAAAACUCAAGUUUGAAAAGGAUCACAUUCGUGAUGCUUGCCAAUUGGGUAAACAGACCCAAAUAUAAUUCAAAGUAAAAUAAAUUGUCUCCACAACCAAACCUCUUCAAACAAUCCACAUGGAUUUGUUGGCCCAACCAAUACCGCAAGCAUUGGUGGAAAGAGAUAUAUUUUUAUUAUAGUUGAUGGUUACUCACAUUUUACUUGGGUGAUGUUUCUUGCUCAUAAACACGAGGCUUUCACAAACUUUGAGAUUUUUAUAGAAAAGUAAAAAGAAAAGUUGGAAACUUCAUCACGUAUGUCCACAGUGAUUACGGAGAAGGAUUAGAAAAUAAUGCUUUUGAGGAAUACUGUGCUUAGAACAAACUCUCAGAAUUUCUCAUCACCUUGAUCUCCUCAGCAAACCGGUGUGGUAGAGUGAAAUAAUUUGUCUCUCUAAGAAACUGCCAGGACUAUGUUGUUAGAACAUAAUCCCCCAGAUCACUUUUGGGCAGAAGUAGUGAGUACAACAUGUUACGUCAUCAAUAGAUGCCUGAUCAGACCUAUUCUACAAAAAAUUCCUUAUGAACUAUAGAAAGGAAAGGAGCCUACAUUAGCUACUUUAGUACUUUUGGAUGAAAAUGCUUUAUCCAUAACAAUGGUAAGAAUAACAUGAGAAAAUUUGAUCCACAAAGUGGCGAAGGGAUUUUUCUUAGGUAUUCUCCUACUAGUCGCUCUUACAGGGCUUACAAUAAAUAAACCUUAUGUGUUCAACAAUCUAUGCAUAUUGUAUUUGAUAAAUCUAAUCACCCUUCUAUGAAUUUGAAUAUUGAUGAAGAACAAUUGAGUGAUCUACAAUCUGGAGACAAUUCUAGCACAACCUCUGAGCCAUCACAAGACGAGUUGACUAUACCCCCUCAGGAUUCGACUCCUACAUCAGAAAUAGUCAAACAAACUAUUCCAAGAGAAUAAAAACACGAUGCUAUCUAUCCAAAUAAAUUUAUCCUCAAAAAUCCAAAUGAUAGGAUACAAAUAAGAGCAUUAUUGAGAAAGCAAGCGUUUGUUGCCCUUGCAUCUCAAAUUGAACCAAAGAAGGCUGAUUAGGCCCUAGAAGAUAAAUCAUAAAUUGAAGCAAUGAAGGAAGAAUUGGACCCAUUUGAAUGAAAUCAAGUUUAGACUUUGGUUGAAAGACCCAAGAACUGCUUAAUACUUGGAACUACAUGGGUGUACCAAAACAAAUUGAAAGAAAGUAAGGUUAUCAAAAACAAAGCCAGACUUGUAGCUCAAGGCUACUCCCAACAAAAAGGUAUUGAUUAUGAUGAGACCCUUGAUCAUGUGGAAAAGUUAGAACCAAUUGAAUUUUCUUAGCUUUUGGUGUUUUCAAAUGUUUUAAGUUAUAUCAAAUGGACAUCAAAAGCCUCUUCUUAAAUAGUUUUAUUCAUAAGGAAGAUUUUGUAAAACAACCCCUCGGAUUUUAAAAUUCAUCUUAUUCAAAUCAUGUUUUCGAAUUGUCAAAAGCACUCUACAUUCUCAAAUAAGCUCCAAAGAUUUAGUAUGAGAGGUGGAGUACUUUCUUACUAAAUAACUAUUUUCAAAGAGGUAAAAUUGAUACAACCCUAUUGAUACAGAAUCUUGAUUCAAAUCUUUUUACUGUGAAAAUUCACGUUGAUGAUAUCAUUUUUGGUAGUCUUAACAUCUCGGUGUGUGAGAAUUUUGCUAAUUUUAUGAAAGUAGAAUUUGAAAUGAGUCGUAUAUGAGUGCUCACAUUCUUCUUAGGAUUACAAAUCAAAAGAAAUCCUAAAGGUGCCUUCAUCAGUCAAGCUAAGUACACAAAAAAACUCAUCAAAAAAUUUAGUAUGGAAAAAGAAAAGGCCUAUGAAACUCCGAUGAGUCCAUCUACAAGUCUUGAUUCAGACUCGUUUAGGAAGGAUAUUGAUGAAAGAAUAUACAGGGGAAUAAUUAGAUCACUACUCUAUUUGACCGCCUGCUGUCCAGACAUCAUAUUUAGUGUAUGUAAGUGUGCCACGUUCCAGUCGACUUCCAAAAAGUCUCAUCUUACUGUCGUCAAAAAGAUUAUUCUAUACCUUAUUGGAACUCAAGACAUUAGACUAUGGUACCCUUGUUCUUUCCAUUUUAAUUUAAUUGCAUAUUCUGAAGCUGACUUUGAACAUGAAAAAAGUGAUAGAAAAAGUACUAGUGGAACGUGUUAAAUUCUUGGUGAUGCCUUGAUCUCAUGUCAUAGCAAGAAGCAAACUUCAGUUGCUCUUUCAACAACUGAAGUCAAAUACAUAGCCGUUAGAAUUUGUGGUACUCAAAUUUUAUGGAUUAUCCAUCAACUACUUGAUUUUAAUUUGUUCUUUAAAUUUGUUCCCUUAUUGUGUGAUAACACCAGUACUAUUAGUCAUCUAAAUAUACUAUGCAUCCUUCUAGGGCCAAACACAUUGAUAUUAAGCAUUAUUUUAUACAAGAUUAUGUCAAAAAUGGUGAUUUUCAUUAACAUUUGUUGACUCCAAAAAUCAACUGGCAGAUAUUUUUAUAAAACCCCUGUAAGAAGAAAGAAUUUGUUACCUUAGAAAAAGACUUGGUAUUCUCAGCUUCAAUGAAUUAUGUGUCUUAUUUUUGGACAAAAAUCUCAUAUACUUGUUCCAAUUUUCUUGUCAUUUUUUAACCGAAAAAAUGGUUUUCAAAAGAGGGUUCUAUCCCUUGUUUUUUUGCUGAAUUAUAAAAUGAUUUUUAAUACACUAUCUACCACACUAUUUAUUUUGCCUAGUAAUUGUUAGUUAAUAGAUAAAAUCUGGGCUAUCUGUCUACUACUCUAGUUGCUACUUUGUGGUUCUUUUUGAUUAUUCCAAAAAGGGGAGAAAGACAGGAACAUCUGAAGUGCCUACAAGUUAGGGGGAGCAAGUCGACUAUAGUAAUAGAUAGGGAAGUCAACUGAUGUUUUCUUGUUUGUAAUUAUAAAAAAGAGGGAGAUUGUUAGACUCCUAUAUUUAUUUUUUAUAUUUUAAUAAUGAAAAUCUAAUAAGUGAACUUUGCAGGACAUUGAAAAUCACUAAUGAUGGAAGGAUAUCUCACACAUAGAACAUUGAAGAUCUCAAAUCAUGGGAGGUUUUUUUUGCACAAGGAAUGGAAUAUUAUCUCUAAGAAUAUCAUGCUAAAUAAGGAGCCAUAUCAAAUAUAUUGAAUAUACCUAAUAAUGGAAGGAGAUCUCACAUAAAGGACAUUGAAGAUCUCAAAUCAUGGGAGUAUCUCGUAAAAAGUAAGGAAUAUUGUCUCAAAGAAUAUCAUGUUAAAUAUGGAGUUACAUCAAAAGAAGGAUAUCGCUUGACAAGGAAACACAAAUUAUAUCAACUAAAGAGCCCAAUAGAUAAGGUAAUUGGAUACACCUCACAACAAGAUCAAAGGAGAAGGAAAAUUUCACUACUUACAUGGACAUAUCUGAUAUGGACAUAUAUAGAUGUGAGAAAGGAAAAUCGCACCAAGUAUGGACAUAUCUGAUAUGGACAUACUAUAAGGUGCAAACUCUCUCAAUCAAGGAAUCAACUCAAAUCCUUGAUUAAGAAAAAAUCUUUUGUGUUUUCUUAUGAAGAAAAAAAGCAUAUAUAAUAAAAGACUAUAAAGGCUAAAACAAAAGAAAGAAGACACUACACAACUUCAAGGAGAACAGUCAAAGUAUCUCAAUCUUAGUUUCACAAUGCUUUGUAACUUUUAGUUUAUGGUAACAUCAACCAAAGCUGUGUCACAAGAUUCAAAGAGCAAAAUAAGUCUUCUGAACUUGUUUUCUAUUAUUGUACUUGAUCCCCAAUUAAACGAUCUAAGAAAAAUUUAAAACCCAAAGGACUGGAAUUAGUCACCACAUUUGUUUUUCAAACAAGGAUAAAUCUUUGUGUCUUUACUUUAUGUUUAGCUAUUUAUUUUAUUAAUUUUUUAAAAUCUAAUUUGUUUUGUGAAGUAAACUAAUCUGUAGGCAAAUCGACUAUGAAGAGACUGUAUUUGAAUCAUAGAAAAAUUUUGAUUCACCCUUCUCUUGAAAUUAACUUGUAUUAUAGGAGGUAUAGGUCACUUAUUGGGUGGUUUGAGGUUGGUAAGGUAGAGAUGUUUGGCCUAGAUAUUGUUCACCAAGCCAUGGAGAAGGAGUGGGUGAUUAGGCAUAGUCUUAAAUCCACCUCAAGUCGCCAAAAGUCCUAUGUGGAUGUGAGGUAUAGGAAGUUAGAGUUUGAGGUUGCGUAUAAGGUGUUCUUGAAGGUACCUCCCAUGAAUGGAGUGAUGUAGUUUCGGAAGAAUGGAAAGCUUAAACCCUAGUAUAUUGGUCCAAACUUGGUUUUGAGAAGGGUUAACAGUAUUGCAUAUGAGUUAGAGUUGCCUUCUGUCUAAGCUCCAUUCAUCCGGUGUUCCACGUAUUUAUAAUGAGAAAGUAUGUAGGUGAUCCAUCGCAAAUUGAACCUAUCAAGGAUAUUGGUAUUUUAGAUUCUCUAUCCUAUGAGGAGGUACCAAUUGAAAUCUUAGAGUGGCAGGUUCAUCAUUUAUGGACUAAGGACACAGCUUCGGUGAAGGUUCUAUGGAGGAACCACAAGGUUGAAAAGGCUACUUGGAAAGCAGAAGAGGACAUGAAGUUCUAGUAUCCAUUUCUAUUUUUUUCUAUAGAAAAUCAAGCUUAAGGUAUAUGUUGAUCUCACCAUUUUUUUCUUGACUUUGUUAAAGGAAGGAUGGAUUUCCUUGGUAUCUUUAUUUUCAAACUUAAAUAAAGGUCAGAGUAGAAACAUUUGGGGUUUGGUCAUACUAGUCAAUGCUUUGUUCCAUUAUUUAGGGACGAAUGAUCUAUGUGGGGGAGAGUUAAAACACCCUGGAUUUUGGCCCUUGGAAAUUUCCUGAGUUUUGAAAUCACUAUCCUAGUAACGACUCACCAUAAGAGUCGUAUGCUAUGGUACGGGUCAGGUGACCCUAAUUGUAGGGAGUACAGUGGAUGGUGGUUAUGAUUUUGUUAUGGUUAUGGUUGAGGUGAUACGAGUCGUUAGGGGCGGUAAUGAUUUUUUUGGUCGGUCCCUUAAUCAAAUUAAAAACUUAGUGAAUUGACUUGGAUCUGAGUAUGAUUGGCUUAGUAAGAGGCAUGAGUAUAGUGUACGAGAGUUAUAGUUUAUUCAUAAAUUAUCCAGUGUCAAUCCCUUUGGAUUCUAUCUUGGGUACGACUUAGAUAUAUGAGUCAUAUGGUUUAGUAAUGAGUGGAUAAAAGAGUCAUAUGGUAGAAAGUGUAUGGGUGUUGAAUUCACUGUGUUGGUGAUGACUCAAAAGUAUGAGUCGUAUGUCAUGGUCAUGGGUCACGGGAUGACUUGUAACCACCUGCGGUAUUUUUAUAGUUCUAAGUUGGGAACUUUAUGGACAUUUCUACUUUUUAACUCCCUUUGAGGACACAAAUUAAAAAAAAACCUUUUGGGUCUUCAUUACUCUAUUAUUUCCAAUCAAGCACUCUUGAAAUCUCUCAAACUCUCUGUGUAAGAAAGAGACUAGGGUUUCUUUAAGAUAAUUAAUCAAGGCUUUCAUAGGUGGUUUCUCUUCGCCUUCCUUGGUGUCUAAGGCAUAUUAUUCCUCCCUCAUUGUUAAUUUACAAAGAACAUGUGUUUUAAUGUAUGAUUUUCAUGAUAUUUUUAUGGUUAGAAAUAUUGGUUGGGGGUUUUGGAUGUUCAUGGUUGAGUAAUUUUCUUAUAGUUUAAUUAUGCUUUCUUUCAUGCUUUUAGUAUGAUUUUGACAUUGUGGGAUGCAUAUUAAUGGUAAAUGGAUUUAGGGGUAUUACGGAUUCCCCAAAUUACUUUGUUAUGGUUAUGAAAUUUGUGUUCCCUCAAAUUGUUUGUUAAAAUACCAAUGAGAAAGAUUUUGUCACAUAUUUUGACUACUCUUGCUAUCUUUGCAUUGUGUAAAUGGUAAUGGAACCUGAAUUGGUAUGGUUGAUUUUAAAUGGUUUAGAAAGGUCUUGGUGACCAUGGUUUUGGUUUAAUUGGAAACUUUGUAGUCAACUUGAUUUAAUGGAUCUGGUAUGACAUAAAAGGUUAGACUUGCAAGCUCUAAUUUUGGUAUGAUGAUACCAACGGUUAAUACCUAAAUAAAAACCUCCUUGGUAAAUGGUUAGAAAGUGUAAUUAGUUUUAAUAUGGGCUUAAAGUGGGUUGUGUUAGAAAAAUCAUGGAAGGUGAAGGUCCCGGGAGGACCAAUACGUGAAACUCAUGUUUGCUGAUGUGAGGUUUGGUCAUUGUGAUCGUGUGCAUGAUGUCGCACUUUGUAUUUUGAGAGAUGUACUAGUCAUCUUAGGUUUUUCUCCAAUUUGUGCAGCUAACACGCACCUAGGCCCUUUCAGUAGGGGGAGUUGAACCUAUAUAGCCCAUGGAUGGACAUUUCAGAUGGCAUUGCUACACAACCUAGGUUAAGGUUUUAAAUGCAUGCUAAACCCAUUUUCCUGUCUCGGCACGAUAUAAUGUAUAUGUGUGAUUGCAUAUGGUUAUUUGAUUUGGUUUUGAAUAAUGUCAAUAUUUUAUCUUUAUCCCUGAGUACAUGCUAGCAUUCACUGCGCUAAUCGUCUUUGGGCACUGUAUCCCUGCGUGAUGUAGGAACUAUCCAUAUUACCAUUCCUCCUGCUUAGUGACUUGGAUUAGGGGAUAACUUAGAUUCAGGCUGAAGUGGUGAGCUUCCAUACUUUGGAAGACUCAAUUUCAUGCUAUGAACUUCUUUUCAUUAUUUUUGUUUCUUGGUUUUUAAUUUUGGCUAUGGUCGAGGGCAUGUCCCAACCAGGCGUUAUUUGAUUUUGGUUAGAAGCUUUGUUGAACUACUAUAGGCAUUAGUUGUGUCGGUAUUAGUGUCAUCCAUGGUUCUGGUAUUUGCAUUAGGGUUGGAACCGGUUUGAUAUUUGAUUAAGGUUGUUAGAUUAUAAAUAUAGACCUUAUUUAAUGUCUUUGAAGUAUUAUUGAUUUAUCUAGUUAUAUGUUUGCAGUUCAUCCGAUAUAGGGUGCAGGGCGGUCAUGGUUGGGUAUUGGGGGUGGUCUCCGGUCCUGGUUAGACUUGAGAUACCCGACAUGACUAGGCCCUGGUUCGGAUGAUGUUACCAUUUUUUUCAAUUAAAAUUAAUGUGUAUUCGACCUUCUCAUUUUAAUAUUAGUCUUAUCCAUGCUUGGGAAAUCCUUAUCAAGUCUAUGUUAUGACUCGAUACAACACCCUAGUCGCAGCACGGUGCUUAGAGUGACAAAUGAACUCAAUCUAACCCAUGGCCUGGAAUGAGACUAAGAAUACUAUAAAUAAAUAGAAAUUAGACAUUGAACAUGAAAGUCACUAAAUAAAUACCACUUACAAAUCAGUAUGGUCGAUGUCUGGCCAUAUCAUAAAACUGAAAUACAAGUCUAUAUGUAUGAAAUCUUCUAUUAAAGAUAUGUUACUGGGACAAGUCUCCAACUAUUUCUAACUGUCUUAAAGAUAAAUAACUGAAAUAAUGAAAUAUGUUUCAUCCUCAAAAGAUGAGGACUCACCAAACUAUGUUGCUAAGAUGAAUAAGGGAUCGUGCCAAUUGUGAGAUAUAUACUAUGCAUCUGAACCUAUAUUAUAACAUAAUAUAGAGAAAAAGAAGUAUGCAUUCAACACUAUGAAUGUACUAAGCAUGUAAAAUAAUCACUACAAUAUAUAAGAAUAUGUGGAAUAUAAAUUCUUUAGAUCAAAAGUAAUCUUGAUGUAUACUAUGAUGUAAAGACCCAUCUGGAUAAGCAUGAAAACUAAAAUGGAUGAAUAUUAUGAGAUAAUUGAAAUAUAGUGAACUAGACUAAACUGUGGGUAAUGAAAAUACUAAAGUCUAAAAUUGUGUGAGUUUUCUUAAUCGACAUGCUCUAUUUGAGCAAGCAUAGAGUCCAACCUAGGCUUUAUUAGAAAGUUGCAAUAUAGCUUGCCAAGAAUAUAAAGCCAUGAUGGAUGUGAUCACUAAUAUAAGCCCAUUUUGGGAAUAUAUAUACCAAUAUUGGCACAUAGUUUUAGGACUUAAUUACGCAAAACCGCCAUCCCUUAGAUGCUCAAUACUACUCCCAACUUAAUAUAAUUGAUAUCUCCUAAGGAUAUUGAUGUAAAUAAUAAUGGAUGUCAUACCUGACUACUAUACUACUAGUGAAUAUUUCUUUUAAGAUAAAAUAGACCCAUGUUCAUUUAUGGCAUUCUGGGUACCAUGGUAAUCAUGAAACUGACUUUUGGAGAAAAGUGUUCAAAAACAUUGAUGGCAUAUCUAGAUGUCAUGCAUGUUCAUGUUAUGAGUUGAAGCUCCUAAUUAUCAUUUGAGUAUGCAUAUAUAUAAAUCAUGUAUUUUGAACCACGAGACUUGUAAAUUUAUAGGAGACUUGACUGAAGUAAAUUCAUAAGAAAAAACAUAUGAAGACUGAGAUUUGGGAGAAAUCUAUAAGGCUAGACUUGAACCUUAAAUCUUGAUUCAUGAAGAUGCUAAUAGUUUAAUAGUAUGUAUUAUCUAAAAAUACUAUUUAGAAUAUUUUUAUCUAAAAUCACUCUAAUGGUCUGCAAAACUGGUAAUACUGAAUACUAGACUGAUAAUAUACAUGAAUGCUACAUUAUCGUGUGUUCAUAAAAUGUCUGGGUUGACUGAAAAAUGCAAUUUCAUAUGAAGAUAUUGUAAUGUUGAACUGGGGAAUAACUGUAAAAUAUUAAGUUAUGCAAUAUGCAUAAAAUCAUGAAAACAUGUAUUAACAUAAACUAAUCAUAAAUACUAAUUUCGAAUGACAAUCUUAAAGUUGGUACAAACCCUAAAAAAAUAAAACUUGUAGGUGAUAUUUUUUUAAAGCAUUUAUUUUUUUAAAGCAUUUAGGGACACAGGGGGUGAAAGGAGACCCUUUUGGAAAUCACACAUGCCUGAAAGAACAUGAUUCUUGGAGAAAUUCUUGAACUUGGGAGCUUUGGACUUAUAGGGUUCGAGAAACCCUUCUUACAUGUUACUUGAAUUUUGCAUGAUAAAAAAGGAAUUUGGAACAUUCUAUCGAUUUUUUCCAUAGAAAUAAUCCUUAUCGUGUGAUUAAAGUCACUGGCAGGGGUUUAUGGGUAAGGAAAGGACUAAACUACAUUCAUAAAACUAUUCAAACGUGUAAAAAAUACCAUCGAAUGGUCCAGGUGGUGAUUCGUCAAUCCCUUGAUCAAUCUCCACCCAAAUCAUCAAGUUCUAGCCAAAUUUUGAGCUUAUUGGUUAGGCUUGAUGGUUCAAUUGAAGAAAUCACCCAAAUGAUGUUACACUUGAUGGGUCAUCACCCAAGUGAUGAUUCUCCACUUAGAUCAUCACUCUCUGGCAUACAGACACCCUUUGGUAAAAUGAGAAUAAUUCUUUACUCCAAUAUUGGAUUGAAUAUCAGCUAGUAAAGAUAAUAAGAACACACAAAUAUUUUUAAUUAGGUGGGUUUUGAGUGAAAAAAUUCUUCAUGCUCAACAAGUUAUACUCGUUUGAAGAUGACAUAUGAAAACUUAAAUGGUAAAGAUGCUAUCAACUUAAGUUUGAGCUAGAAGUUCCUUAUGAAUUUUAUUCAUUUCCAAAUCUCUUUUCACACUAAGUAAUUUAUCUUCACAUCUAUGUAAAACUAGAAUGCAUCGAGUUCAGUUCCAUACAUAUUUGAAAAAUGACAUGGAUCAUAGUUUAGAAAGUUUGGGAUGUUACAGUCUCCUCCAACAAGAUUGAAUUAACAAAUAAAAUACUUAUUAAGCUAACUAUUUCAAAAUAUAUAAAUGACAAAUAUGAAGGAGGACAAUUAUUUUUUGAAGAGUUGGACUACUGAUAAGAAAAUGGAGUUAGAUUCGUGAUAAAGAAUGUAGAGGUUUUAAUUCUGGUCAAGCCAUAAUAUUGAGAAUGUUACAUUAGAGAGCUCAGUAUGAAUCAAUAUUCUGAGCUCUUGGAAAUGCAAUACAUUUGGUAGAAGAUUAUGAAAUCAUGGUGAUAUUCUCUAUCUAAUUAAUGGGGGAGUUUGUCUAAUAUCAUCUACCUUGCACCGACCCCGAGUAAAUUCGUCAAUAUAAAUCACACAAAGGUAGAUUAGAAAUCUCUCGUAUCACUCUUGUGCUUGGUAUGAAAAUUCUAUAUUAAAUAGGAUAAAAAUAGAGGGAAUUGAGAAGCCUUGAGGGUUCUCAAUUGGUUCUAAUGGAGGACUUUUUUGGGCAUCAUUUCUAUCUAUUUCAUCAUUGAUAGAGAAGACAAGAAGAAGGUUAAAAAAUGUUGGAUUUUGUACGAGUAAGUGGAGAGAAAAGAAAAUAUAGAAAGAGUGGGUAUGUGGAUCUGUAAAGGGAAAGAAAAAAGGUUCUGGCCAGUUUUGUGUAAUUUGGGUCAAUUGUGGUAUUAGUUAAAUGGUUCAAAAUUAGACAAAGAAGGUUGGGUUCCCAAUAUGUUUAAAGAAAGGACUAGGCUCCUUGGAAAUUAGUGAAAACUUAGUCAAUUUCUUAACAAACAUUAAACAAAUGAAUUUUCCAAUUAAUUAAUAAGCCUUUGAACUUGAAAAACUAAAACCAUUUAUUUAUGACAUGAGAACUAAGUUUUUGGAAAGACAAAAGCUAAUUAUGUGAUUUAGCCUCAAAUUUAAUUGACUUGAAAGUUUUAACUAAUUUUUUAAUAUUUAUUAAAAAUGACAAAUAAUAAAAAUCUUAAUAAUGAGUAUAUAGAGAUAUAUCUUUACUUUUAGGAAAAUAGUAAAGUUCCUUAAAAUAGAUAUUGAAAAUAGAUUUGAUUUUCUCAAAAUAAUUCUUUCAAACUGUUUUGAAUUGAAGAAGCUCAAAACUACUAGACAGUGGGCGGAAAAAAUUGGGUGUCAACAAUGACAACUCUGAAUCUUCUAAUUCAAACUACUAAGGAUUUACAUAAAUUAAACUUCCCCCAAGUAUAGGAAACAGUCCUAGGUAAAGACACUCUCAAUAAAAAUAAAAUCAUUUUGAUACCCAUAUCCAAACAAAACGAAUUCCUCCUCCUCUUUAGCCACGACUAGAAAUAAAGUGAAGUUUGCUUCGAUUAGAGGUAACAUUAGUAGGAUAGGCUCACACAUGAAAAUAAAAAAAUAGUUAUUAUAAAAGGCUCAUGAACUCAACAUCCUUUGUGAUGCGGAAUGGCUAAAUUCAUCUAUAGUAGUCAACACAAUAAGUCUUAAGUAUUUCCAAAUAAUGAUGAUGCAAUCAACACCUUUACAAAAUAUAGGGAGUUGUCGAUGUUGGAACAAUAUAAAGCAUGGUGGCAUAAGAAAUGUUCAUGGAGAAAAGGUCCAAACAUUUAGUCUUCCAACUACUUGGUUCUUUGCUUUGUAAACUCUUCUUGUUUCACCAUAUUUUAUUCCUCCAACUUUUACAAAUCCCUAAAUUUUGCAAAGAUCUUAAAGCAGCACCAUGAUUUAGAAGUACCUAAAACUCAAUGUGGUAAGUUCUACAAACGAAUAUCGCCAUAACAUCACAAAUGGUGCUAAGAUCAAGACCCGUUAAGAAUACUUUCUAUCUUUUAUUGGACGAGGCUUUUCUCUCAGUGGUACAUUAAUCAAAGAAAUCUUUACUAUGCCUCUGGCCAUGAAAAAAUAAGAGAAAGAUGAGAAGAAAUGUGUUUAUUUGGAUGAGGGAAUCUAAUGACUUUAUUAUUGUGUGUUUCUUUGGCAAGGAUUGUCUUCUAUAUAUAGUUUGAAAUUUAAACCAUGCAAAUAUUUGAAUAGUUUAAAUGAGAAGAUUCAUAGUUGUCACCAAUAACAAUUUUGGAAUGAAAGUAAAUGAGAGAGGAUUAUAUAUGAUGUUAGAUACUAUUAUCUUGCUAUAUAUGUUGUUUAAAUGCUCUGGUUUUAUCCUGACCAAUUCUUCUGAGUCAAACUUUUAUAAUUAGGAGGAUAAUUUAAUUGUGUAAAAUUUUGAGCAUCAUUAAAAGAUGGUAUCACACCAUGAGACUAAACCUUGGACGUAAUAGUCACUCAAAAUUAUAAAUGGUCUAAGAGAACUACUUAGCUUAUUGUAAUGGCCCGAAAAUAAAUCCUGGAUGUGACACGAUGCUCAAAACUAUGAAUAGUCCCAAGCUAAACCUUUAAGCAUACUUAACUUGGAACUCAUAAGAAAAGUAAAUUGACAUAUAUAAAAGACUGGAAGAUCAAAAUCAAAGAUGAAGAAGCCAUGACACUUUGAUUUUAAAAGCUUUAUUUACUAUGCUUUCUUAGGGAGGUUCUUCUAACCAACAUAAACUAUGUGAGCUACAUGGAGUCCAACAUCUUAGCCACGUUGGGGAGAGUUGUUCUACCUUUGCUAUCAGAGUAGAACCGUAAUCUUAGUAAUCACUGAACUUAACCCAUAUUGGGACUUAAACCUAUGGUGGCUCGUAGUUUCUAGGAAUUAAGAAUACGCUCAUCCGUAUUCCCUUUUCAGUGCUAAAUACUACUCUCAUAUUACGUAUAUUCUCAUACUUUAGGAAAUCCACCUUAAAAUAGCAGAAGGGUUGGUAUACUAGAAACUAAUUAUGCUUUUCUUUGCUUUAAAUCAUAAGGAUGGUAAAUGAUUGUCGAUUUCAAGCCUUAUCAUUGAAUUAAAAGAUCAAAUUUUUCUUAUAAACUUAGUGCUUAAACUUAAGCUUUAAAUCUCAUACUUUCUUUCAUAUAUAUUGUAAUACAAUAUCAUGCUUAAAACUCAAUUGAAAAUCCUUAAUCAUUGUUUCAAAUCAAACUCAUGGUAUUCAAGUCAUAAUAGAGAAUUCUUCAAGUCAAGACAUAAAUAGACGACAGCAAGUAUACACUUUAAUACUUCAAUCACAUAAUAAUUUCAUAAGCUCAAAAAAGGUAACUUGGGUAUGAACCCUAAUUUGAAAUCACUUAAAACUUUUAAACAAGUUUUGGGCACAAUUAUGGAAGAAUGUCCUUGUUGAUAACCCCAUAAACCUCAAUAGCUAGAUUCUUGAAGAUUGCCUGAACUUGGAAGCUUGAACUCUUACAUUCCUGGGGAAAGGAGCUUAGACUUUGUUCUUAAGAAGGGGAAGGGUUUCUCGUGAGUAAUUUUUGAGAGAAAGGGGCAAAUAAUUCCCCUAUGGAUAUCCUAAAUCGUGUUAUGGAAGAUUUGGGUUGAGGGAAAAAUAUUCAAUUUUCCCUUGAUUUAUUUAAUCAAGAAGUUUGAAGUACUACACUAAUGCUCCGAGAUACUCUGGGGGAGUGACCCUCGCACCGCAACCCUCACUUAGGUAAAGCCACCCUCUCACCGCAACCCUUGCUUUGGUGGAGACACCCUUGCGUCAUAGGCCUAUCAUGAGGGAUCUCUAUCUCGGCUAUCCAAACAUGCCCGAAUCUCGUCAGAAAAUACCAAAACUCUCCUGGGACAUACCUUUAACCUCCCUAAACAUAAAUUAACUAAAAAAACCAACGUUUUGCGGUCAAGAAGGCCAAAAUAAAAUCCAUAAAGUCUUGGAGUCUUAAAAUGACUAAGUCCUCAAUACUUAGUGAAAUUUCAAGCCUUGAACCCCCUUAAAGCAUGCAACUAAGAGUUGAAUCGAGCUUAGAAUUUUACGGGCAUUACAAUAUCCCCACCUUGGGAUUAUUAGUCCUCGAAUGAGACUGAUAAAGAUGAGAUACUACGAAGACUCAGAAUCUAUAAUAUUAAUAAGUUGAAACAUGAUCAAUUAACUGGGUUUCAAACAUGCAAUAUGCUUCAAGGGUUGAACUGAUUUCAAGAAUGCAUGUUGUGACAUGAGAAUAGUUGUAUAGCUAACAUAUAGAAGUAAAAAAGUUAACCUAAGAAAAUUAUUACCUCAAGAUGAGUCUAAAUUUUUGGAGAAAAGAUGAGGAUACUAGGUUCGCAUGCCUACUUCUACUUCCCAAGUAGCUCCCUCAACAAACUUAUUUCUCCAAAGAACCUUAACCAAAUAAACCUCUUUAUUCCUUAGCCUGUGAAUCUAAUGACCAAGGAUCUCAACUGGGACUUCUUCAUAGAAAAGGCUAUCCUUAACAUCCACACUCUCUAAAGGGGAAGAAGAAACUGAAUCACUAAUGUAUUUCUUUAACAAAGAUAUAUGGAACACCGGGUGUAUUGAUGUUAAAUCUGUAGGAAACUCUAACUCAUAAGUUAUCUUCCCUAAAUGGCUCAAAAUUCAGUAGGGGACAACAUAGCAGGACUAAGUUUCCCCUUCUUGAUAAAUACCUUCACUCCUUUCAUAGGCAAAAUUUUUAAAUAAACUAAGUCACUAACCUCAAACUCAAGAUCCCUUGUCCUUAUAUCUGCACAAGAUUUCUAAUGACUUUGGGCUGACUUCAGCCUCUUUUGAAUUAACUAAACUUUCUCCAUAGCCUCAAACACCACAUCUGGAAAAGAAGCCUCACGUACUUCAAAAUAGCCAAUAGGUGAUCUAUAUCUCCUCUCACAAAGAGCCUUAAUAGGAGCCAUCUGAAUACUGGAGUCAUAAAUAUUGUCAUAAGAAAACUCAAUCAAAGCUAAAUAGUUAUCCUAACUGCCUUUAAAAUCAAUAACACAUGUCCUAUUACAUCUAAAUGGUCUACUCUGCCUGAGCAUCCAUUUGAGGGUGAAAAGGUGUGCAAAGAGGAACUUAGGUACCAAGACCAUUCUGAAAAUCCUUCCAAAAGUGAGAGGUAAAAUGAGUACUUCUAUCUGAAAUGAUGGACAAUGGAACCCCAUGCAAUCUCACCAACUCCCUAAGAUAAAUUCUGGCAUAAUCUUCGGCUGAGUACGAAGUAUGAACUGGCAAGAAAUGGGCUUACAAAAUGAGCUUACUUGGUCUUUCUAUCAAUAGUGACCUAAAUCAAAUUAUGCUGAUGAUGCGUACGAGGCAACCCCAUCACAAAAUCCAUAUUCACCACCUUCCACUUCCAAGUGGGGAUGCUAAACUCCUAAAGCGUACCACCAAGCCUUUGGUGCUUAAGCUUAACCUACUGAUAAUUCAAAUAAUUAGCCACAUACCCUGCACUAUCUUUCUUCAUACCACUCUACCAAUAGAUUUUUUGCAAAUCAAGAUACAUUUUAGUAGUUCCUAAGAGGAAAGAUUAACGUGCACCAUGCACUUCUGCCAAUAUUUGUUGUCUCAAACCAUCAACGCACAAAACACAUAGCUUGCCUUGACAUCAAAUAAUAUAUCUUUCCCCUUGGGAGAAAACUUCCACCUUCUGAUCUCUAAAUACCUCCUUCAAUUUAAAAAAACUAGGAUCCCCAUCCUACUUUACUUUUACUUCGGUAACUAAUGAAGAUUCCACACCAUCCCGAACCCAUGUACUACCUUCGGCCGAAUCAACUAGCCAAACUCCUAACCUAGCAAGCUUAUAAACCUCGUGAACUAACUCUUUUUUAUCAUUCUCAACAUGGCAAAUACUACCCACAGACAAUUUGCUAAGGGCAUCUGCCACUACAUUGGCCUUGCCCGUAUGAUACAACACAAUUAUAUCAUAGUCUUUCAACAACUCAAGCCAUCUUUUCUGAAGGAGAUUUAGGUCUUUCUACGCAAAUACAUACUAUAAACUCUUGUGAUUUGUAAACACAUCAACAUGAGCUCCAUAAAGGUAAUGCCUCCAAAUUUUCAAGGCAAAGACAACAGCUGCCAACUCAAGACAUAGGUCAAAUAAUUCCUUUCAUGAGUUUUAAGCUAUCUAGAGGCAUAGGCUUUGACUUUGCCUCUAUGCAUUAAAACACAACCCAUACCAACUCUAGAAGAAUCACAAUAUACUACGAACCCAUCUGGGUCAUCUGGCAAAGUCAAGACUGGAGCAGAAGUGAGUCGAGUCUUUAACUCCUGGAAAUUCUUCUCACAGGAAUUUAACCACUGAAAUUUGACCUUCUUUAGGCUAGUUUCUCACUUCUUUAGUAUUUUUAGGGUCAAAUAAAAUGCCAUAACUAGAAAUGAUAUGUCCAGGGAAAGCUACAGAUUUAAACCAAAAUUUGCACUUACUAAACUUAGCAAAUAACUGAUGAUCUCUAAAGGUCUAUAACACAACCUUCAGAUGGUAUGCAUGAUCAUUCUCACUAUGGUAAUAGACAAGGAUGUCAUCAAUGUAGACUAUGACAAACAUAUCCAAGUAUGGCUUGAACACCCUAUUCAUCAAGUCCAUGAAAGCUGUAGGGGAAUUUGUUACUCCAAAAGACAUAACUACAAAUUUGAAGUGAACAUGCAGAGUUCUAAAUGCUAUCUUUGAAAUAUCAUAUUCUUUAACUUUAAGUUGAUGAUAGACGGACCUAAGGUUUAUCUUAGAGAAAUAACUUACACCCUGAAGCUGGUCGAAUAAGUCAUUAAUCUUAGGGAGAGGAUAUUUGUUCUUGAUUGUGACUUUGUUCAACUAAUGGUAGUCGGUGCACGUCCGGAGAUAACCGUCUUGAUUGCAUAUGAAAAGGAUAGGAGCAUCCCACGGAGAGAUAUUGGGCCUUAUAAAACCUUUACGAAGAGGUCUUUAAGCUGUUCUUUUAACUUUUUAAGCUUGACCGAAGCCAUAAGAUAAAGAGGGAUAGAGAUGGGCGGAGUAUCAAGGAGAUCAAUACCAAAUUCUACUUCUCAAUCUGGAGGUACCCGUAGCAAAACUUUGGGGAAAACCUCAGAAAAUUCAUUGACUACACGGAAUGAUUUAACUAUUGGAGUUUCAGACUUAGUAUCUUUAACUCGAACUAAAUAAUAGAUGCACCCUUUUUACAUCAACUUUCUUGCCUUAAGAUAAGAUAUGAACCGACCUUUGGGAGGCACAAAACUACCUUCCCAUUCAAAAACUUCCUCAUUGGGAAACUGAAACUUCACCACAUGGGUGCGACAAUCUAUUAAUGCAUAACAUGAAUGGAGCCAAUCCAUGCCCAGAAUAAUAUCAAAAUCUACUAUUUUUAACUCUAUUAAGUCUACUGGAACAAUCUUAUGGAGAAAAUUAAUAGGACACCUCUUAGAGACUAGACUAGAAAUAACCGACUCACCCACUUGGGUGGAAACUGAUAAGGGUUUAGAGAGAUUUUCAAGACCUACCCCAAAAUUUACAGCAACCAAUGAAGUCACAUAGGAUUAUCCCGGGUCUAAUAACAGAUAUACAUUAAGAUGAAAGACAUAAAGCAUAAUAGUGACAAUAUAUGGUGAACUCUCCUGCUCCUGUCGUAGUGGUAAAGCAUAAAAUUGAUUCUGGCAUUGACCACCAUCGGUAUUGGAUGAUGCUCCCUAAGGAGAAACUGGGCAACCUGACAGGGCUGGUGCAUUAGUAACCUAAGUCUGAGGAUGAACAUCCCUACUUCCCUUCUUAGCAUACGAAUAUUUCUUAAUUUCAUGGCCCAAUUUGCCACACCCAUAAGAACCCCCUUUUCCUAUCAAACACUCACCAGGAUGAGUCCUACCAUUCUUUGCACAUGCUGAAUAGUUGGGCCUUCCGCCCACAAUGUUCUGAGACCUAGAAUUAGUAUUCAUGCCCCACUACUCCUACUUGGUCCUAGGUGUAGGGAUACUGGCAGAAGAUGGCACUAGCACUUAUGAAUAAAAUUGAAAAUGCAAACAAUUCCUCUCCUUUAGACCGUGGUUGACCAUACUCAAACUGGUCCAGUUCUAGCCUACUUGUUUCUCUUCUCUUUUUUCAACAACUUUUCUUCUUCAAUCUGUUGAGCAUGAGUCAUAAAUGUAGCCCUAGAUCAGGUUCAUACUCAAACUCGGGAGCAUACUUAGACAAUUUAGUGAACUUAAGGUAGUAUUCUUUCACGGUCAUAGAGCCCUGCCUCAGGUUUAUGAACUUCUCCACCUUAGCUUCCUUGAUCUCAUGCGGAAAGAACCUAUCCAGAAAUAUAUUUUGGAAUACCUGCCAACUCACAAGAGUUGCAUCCAUACAUCUAAUUUCCUUCCACAUAACAACCCAAUCAUAAGCAACAUCCUUCAGCCUAUAGGAUUCCAUUCUACACUCUCUUCCUCAGUAAUAUGCAUAAUCUGAGUAAUCUUUUUUACCUCAUCAAUGAAGAGUUUUGAGGAUCCUCUUCCAUCUUUGACCCAUGGAACUCAAGUGGAUUCAUUCUUAUGAAAUCAAGAAUUUUGGCUGCAGCUAGAUUACCAUUUUUCUAAAGUAGGACUUCCAUCUUUUGGUUGGGUUGGAUGUUGGCAUUCAUAACUUGGGCCAAUGCCUGAAAGGCAGCCCAAAAUUCAGCAUGAGAUAUGUUCUCAGUCAGAGGGUCGGUGUAGAGGUGAUUGGUCACUAUUUAUACGUGCAUUGGAUUGGUGAGGAGUCAUAUUCUAUCACGUAAAAGCAUAAUUUAACUAGAUACAGACAAUGGUAAGCAUGAUAGGUCAUGAAAGAAAUAAUGUUUCCUAACUCUACCGAUAGCUUCUUGCUCAUAAAGGUUGUGCGCUGCACAUCCAUGAUCAAGACUCAACGUAACACGGCUUGUCUAACUCCCUAAGACUUUUACAACCUUAGGCUUUGAUGCCAAAUUUGUAAUGCCCCUAAAGUACCCCUUGGACGUCACACGGUGCUCAAGACUAUGAAUAGUCCCAUGCUAACCCUUUAAGCCUACUUCACUUGGAACUCAAAAUAAAAGUAAAGUGACAUAUAUAAAAUAAAAAAAUAACUGAAUUAAUAUAUUAACUAAAAAUCUUUAACUUGGAAAUCCUUAAUAGAAACUCUUGUACUUACAUAAAAAUAGUCGAACAAGCCUCUACCUCAAACUAGAGAGCCACUGGGAUAGACCCCCAGUUGACUUAAACGUAAAUAAAAAUCAAAUAACUAAAAAUGAUUCAUCAAUAUCAAAGUCGAUAAGCUGGGUCCUCAGACUAUAUGGAAUCACCUAAGAGUUGGGAUGUUGGUGUGAAGCCCGUUAUCAAUCAUGCUGCUGGAACUGAGCAUCAGAACCUAUAUUAUAAGACAAUGAAGAACAUAGACAUUUCUGUAGGUCAGUAACUCUAGAAAAUACUGAGUAUUUGUGGGCGAAUGCAUAAGUAAAUAUGAUAAUUGAAUAUUUAAAAAAAAUUUCAAUAAUGCAUGCUAAGUGUAAAUGACUCACCUUGGAUAUGAAUAAAACAAAAGUUUGCAAGAUCAAAAUCAAAUAUGAAGAAGCAUAAGAGUAAACUUUGUGAGCAUGACACUUAGAUUCUAACAGCCUUAUUUACUAAACUUUAUGAGCAUGACACUUAGAUUCUAACAACCUUAUUUACUAUGCUUUCUUAGGGAGGUUAUUCUAAUCGACAUAAACUAUGUGAGCUAUAAUGGAGUCCAAUAUCUUACCUACAUUGGGGAGAGAUGUUCUACCCUUGCCAUCGUAAUAGAAUCUUAAUCUUAGUAAUCAGUGAACUUAAUCCAUAUUGGGACUUAAACCAACGGUGGCUCAUAGUUUCUAGGAAUUAAGGAUACGUUCAUCCGCAUUCCCUUCAUGGUGCUAAAUACUACACCUAUAAUACUUAUAUGCUCAUGCUUUAGGAAAUUCACCUUAAAAUAGCAUAAGGGUUGGUAUAUCAUAAACUAAUUAUGCUUUUCUUAUCUUUAAAUCAUAAGGAUGGUAAAUGAUUGUGGAUUUCAAGCCUUCUCAUUGAAUCAAAAGCUCAAAAUUUUCUUGUAAACUUAGUGCUUAACAUAAGCUUUCAAUCUCAUGCUUUUGUUCAUUUAGAUUGUAAUACAAUAUCAUGUUUAAAACUCAAUAGGAAAUCCUUAAUCAAUAUUUCAAAUAAAACUCAUGGCAUUCAAGUCAUACUUCAAGUCAAGUCGUAAAUAGACGAGAGCAAGUAUACACUUUAAUACUUCAAUCACAUAAUAAUUUCAUAAGCUCAAAACAAGGUAACUUGGGUAUGAACCCUAAUUUUAAGUCAUAUGAUUUAAACUUUUAAGUAAGUUUUGGGCACAAGGAUGGAAGAAUGUCCUUGUUCAUAACCCCACAUACCUCAAUAGCUAUAUUCUUGAAGAUUACCUGAACUUGGAUGCUUGAACUCUUUGAUUCUUGGGGGAAGGAGCUUGGGCUUUGUUCUUGGGAAGCUGAAGGGUUUUUAGUGUGUAAUUUUGACAGAAAGGGGUAAAUAAUGCCCCUUACUUUGGUAAGCCAUCCUACUAGUCGAGAAGCUAGGUUUUUGGCAAGACGUCCUUUAGGGAUUGAAGACUAGACCUUUUAGUAAGAAAACUACUAUCCUUGUCAUCUCAUUGUUAAAGUCUUUUCAAAAAAUCCACUUGCAUGUGCACCAGCCUAUGUAAGAAAACUAUUAUCCCUGUAAGCUUGUUGUAGUUGCCUGCCAUCUCUCUAGUCGCAUUCCCCCUAAUUGGUAUCAAAGUUAAUACCUUUACCAUUUAAAGUCAAGGUCAAGAUAUAUGAUAAGGCAAAUCCUUUAGCUUUUUAAAGCUUGUCUCAAGCACAAUGGACCAGUUGAAAUCCAAAUUCUUCGAAGUGAUCCUAGUAAAAGGAGUUCCAAUAGUUAAGUAGUCCUACAUGAACUAUUUGUUGUAGUUUAUCAAACAAAUAAAAAACAUAACCUUGGUAGGUGAAGUAGGCCUAGAAUAAUUCUAAAACAACUUAAUAUUAGUUGGAUCGACCAUAAUACCCUUAUUGGACAUUACGUGUCCCAAGAACACCACCAAACUGAACCAAAACCCAUACAUCAAAAAUUUAGUAUACUUCUUCUUAUCCAUUAAUCUUUGAAGCAAAAUCCUCAAAAGUAAAACAUGAUCCUCCUCUCUCUCUUGGAGUAUACUAAAAUAUCAUUAAUGAAUAGAAAAUGAAGGAAUCUAAAUAAGAAUGAAACACUUCAUUGAUCAACUCUGUAAAUAUCAUGACAUUAGUUAAUCUUUGAAAACACUGAAGAAACCUAAUGCUACUCAAACAAAUCAUCAAUGUAUAGAAGAGAAAACUUGUUCUUGAUAUUCAUUUUGUUAAUGUGCUGAUAAUCAAUACCUAUCUGACAGACCCAUCUUUCUUCUUCACAAUUACAUAAGAACACCCUAUGUAAGACACUAGGUCUAAUAAAUCCCUACUUAAUAAAUCCUAGAACUAAUCUUUCAAUUCCUUCAACUUCAUUAGGGCUAUCCUAUAUGGAUAAAUCAAUAUGGGCUUAGUGCCCAACUCCAAAUUAAUGCCAAAAUCAACGUCUUUAUCUCAAAGAACACUUUCAAAAUCUAUAGGAAAGACAUCUAGAAACUUCCUAACAGCGCUUACCAACUCUAAAGAAGGUGUGGCAGUGCUAGUAUCACAAAAUAUGCCAAAUAAGAAAAAAAAAACCUUCUAAACUAUCCACUAACAUAGAGGAAAGAAAACACCUUCUUGGAUAUAAACCCUAGGUGCCCUUCCACUCCAAACUUGGGACAUCCAACAUGACCAAAAUAAUUAUCUUUGAAUAAAAAUCCUAGAAAUCAUGAUAUAAAGAAUGUUAAUCCAUUCCUAAAUAAUAUCAAAAGCUACAUUAUCCAAUAAUAAGGUCUACCCAGGGAUCAUAGGCCAAAUGAGUAACAAUACAGUAUCAAUACACCUAAUACACCGCUGAAUAAUUACCUAAUAUAGUAGAAAUACCAAAAAUCACAACAAGAGACCCACAUAUUAUUUCAAGACCUGAUAUAAAAUACAUGCACAUAUAAGAUAUUAGAAUGAGGAUUAAAUAAUAUUGAAAGAGGUUGAUGUCAUAUUGAGAUGAUACCUAUGAUUACUUCAUUAGAGGAAUCCACUUCAAGUCUACUUUGGAAACCUUAAAAUUGAUCCUUAUAACCUUAGUUUAAACCACUCUACUACUACCUUCUCAACCGGAUAGUGGUGUAAUUUUACCUACUGAAGAUCCACCUUGACCCUAGUUGGGAGUGCUUCUGCCAUAACUAGAGCAAGAAAACCUUGUUUUAGAUUCCCACCUCUAAAUCUGGGACAAACCCUCUCAAGGUGAUUUGGACUGUAACACUUAUAACAAGAUUAAGGAAAUAUUAUUUGUAGAGAAGAACCUAAUAUCCAAAAUGGCCACUUCAACUUAAGACCUCAAGGAAGAACCAGGAGAAGUUUUCCAUGGAAUAAGGGAGUCUCAUUUGGAAUACCCACCUUUAGAUUCUCAUUUAGAAUACCCACCUUUAGAUUGCUGAAUAGCCAUAUGAAUCUAUAUAUUAUACUGAGAUCCAAAGCAUCACCUAAAGAACCUCUACCUUUGGAUGAGAUGUCAUAGAACUGACUAAAAGAAUAAGAAUUCUUAUACCUCAGAUCCCCAUACUUAUUAUGAGGCAUUAUAUCAAACUUCGUGGCCUCCUCAACCACCCUUUAGAAAGUAUCCCAAGAUUAGGAUAAAGAAAAUACUAUCUCUCAAAUCUUGAAUGUCAAUCCUCUCAUAGAGUUUUGGAUUCUCUAGUCUCAUCUAGUAAAAUCUCCAUUGCAAUAUAGGGUAAAGCAUAGAAUCUGGUCUAAGACACGAUAACUAAGAUUUAUGGGAGGGUAUAAAAAUUGGAGAACCAAAAAAACAAACUGAACCAAAUUAUUUCAAUUCUUUGGAUCUUUAGUUUUUUUUUUA